UGGCCGGACGGCGGCAGUUGGCGGCUGGACAGUCCGGCAGUGGGAGGAGAGCACGGGAGAGAGAAGGAAGGGAAAAGAGAGAAGAAGAGAAAGAGAGAAAAUGGGUUGGGCCUCCCAACCGGUCCAACCUAUAUCAACCCACUUCAAAAAAAUAAAAACACCCCGAAAAAUAAUACCCGAAUAAAAAUUACCUUUUACUAGCUAAAAUUUACUAUUUUUACCGUCGUCGUAUUUUCCUCAUACGAAUAAUCCUCCGCACAUAAUCGUCCCCGAAACCCCUCUAGGGACCAAUUAAACUAUUUACUCAAUGAUCGAGACGGUAAAAUUCUUAUUAUAAUCACGCUAGUAAAUAAGGUAAAAAUAUAAGGGUCGGGAUGUGACAACUACCCCAUCGGCAUGGGACCAAGUGUCAUUUUACAAGAGGGAAGAUACGAUCAGUUGCCAUCAUAAUAUACCUUUCAUAAUCAAUGUCCAAGUGGAUCACUACAGGUGUCAUCGGGCCCUUGUAGACACCGGAGUUGCGGUCAGUGUGAUGUUUGCCGAUUGUUAUAGAGGACUCCGGCGUGACCGAGCUAAGUUAUAUAGCAACCAUGAUCCCCUUGUAAGCUUCUCGGGAGAGAUUGUGCAGCCCUUAGGUUCAGAACGCUUGACAGUUUCAGUAGGAACCAGUCCAUGCCGUACCUCCAUCACGGUACGUUUUCUCAUAGUUGAUUGCCCCUCAUCCUACAACCUCAUCCUGGGUCGUGACAUCCUCUGGGGACUACAAUGCUUCAUUGCAGGUCACUUGCUACUCAUGAAAGUGCCUACUCCGGGAGGCAUACUCAUAAUCCAAGGGGAUAGAGCUGCCAUUGAACAUUGUCAUCUUAAUGCCAUCCAACAAGGACGCAGCGCCUAUGAGAUGUUGCCACUUAGCCCCUCGGAACCCAUUGAUGACCCCAGGGAUGACCCUGAAGGGAAAGACAAGAAGAAGCAAGCCCCGAGACCUAACCCGGCAGAGGACACAUAAUGGGUAUCCCUGUCACCCAGUGCUCCCGAGAGGAAAGUCCGCAUCGGCACGAGCCUUAACCCGGAAUUCCGCCAAAAGCUCAUUGCCUUCUUCCAAGAUAAGCAAGCAGUCUUUGCUUGGUCCUAUGCCGACAUGCCAGGCAUCUCCCCUGAUGUCAUCACACACAAACUUAACAUCCUCAAAGACUAUUCCCCUGUUAAGCAAAAACGGUGUGCCUUUAACCCGGAGAAGUAUCGAGCUAUCCAGGCCGAGGUCCGGCGGUUAAAAGAAAUCAAAUUCAUACAUGAGGUCUCAUACCCAACAUGGGUUUCCAAUGUGGUCAUGGUCCCCAAGCCCAAUGGCAAGUGGCGAAUGUGUGUCGAUUACACUAACCUCAACAAGGCAUGCCCCAUGGACAGCUUCCCUUUGCCACAGAUUGACCAGCUGGUUGAUUCCACAGCCGGUUUCAAGAUGCUCAGCUUUCUAGAUGCCUACUCGGGAUAUAACCAAAUCAAAAUGCAGCCCACAGAUCAAGACCACACCACUUUUGUUACGGACAAGGGACUGUAUUGUUACGAGGUCAUGCCUUUUGGCCUCAAGAACGCGGGAGCAACCUAUCAGAGGCUGGUCAAUGCCAUGUUUGAAGAGAAAAUUGGGGAAGUCAUGGAAGUCUACGUGGAUGACAUGUUAGUCAAAAGCAAGGCAGAUGACGACCACAUUGCCAACCUAGACAAAGUCUUCACUAAGCUCCUGGCUCACGGGAUGCGCCCCAACCCCCAAAAGUGUAUCUUGGCUGUUAGUGGCAGAAAGUUUUUGGGUUUCAUGGUCAGUGAAAGAGGCAUUGAAGCUAACCCAGAAAAAGUACAAGCCAUACUUGACAUGACGGUCCCAAGGACUCGGAAUAAGGUCCAAUGCCUCACGGGACGCUUGGUAGCCUUGGCUCGUUUCAUCUCCCACCUCACAGACAAAUGCAACCCAUUCUUCCAACUGCUAAAAACUCAAUACAAGGAGAAUGUGGCAUGGGGCCCAGAACACGACGAUGCCUUCAACAAUAUCAAAGCCUACCUUGUAGCGGUCCCCUUUCUCUCCAAGCCUGUCCCGGGAGAAGUACUUUACUUGUAUUUGACUGUUUCCGCCACGACCAUCAGCGCUGCUCUCACACGCCAUGACCAUGACAAUGAACUCCCCGUCUACUAUUGUGGUAGAGGGUUUGCGGAUCCCGAGACCCGCUACCCUGAUAUUGAGAAACUAGCUUUAGCCCUCAUCACUGCGGCAAGAAAACUCAGACAAUACUUCCAAGCUCACACCAUCCAUGUCCUAACCAAUCACCCUCUGCAGCAAAUACUCCAAAAGCCUGAAACUUUAGGGCGCAUGGUAAAAUGGGCAAUUGAAUUGGGAAAAUUUGACCUACAUUUCAAGCCAAGAACAGCCAUAAAAGGGUAGGCCGCUGCGGAUUUCAUUGCCGAGUUCAUCCCAUUGGCCCCAGGCAAUCUAGACCCGGAAACCCUCCCCCGGGACGCCAUUUGGGAACUCCAUGUUGAUGGAUCCUCCAACAACAGGCUCAGUGGAGCAGGGAUAAUAAUUAUAGACCCAGAGGGGAAUUCGUAUGAAUAUGCUCUUCGAUUUGAAUUCAAGGCAUCUAACAACAUAGCUGAAUACGAGGCUCUCAUAACCGGCAUUCAGCUCUGUCGAGAACUCGGCGCCCUGCACAUCCACAUAUUCAGUGAUUCCCAGCUUGUAGUCAAUCAGGUGGUAGGAGACUUCAAAGCCAACCAGAAAAACCUGGGAUCCUACAAAAGUCUAGCUGGCGCCCUCCUCCAACACUUCACAUCUUACAAACUCACACAAAUACCAAGAGCCAAGAACUCCAAGGCAGACGCUCUCGCGCGACUCGCCACAGCCCCUCCCAAGUCCACGCCACCAGAUGUGCACAUAGAAGUCUUGGACAAGCCUAGUAUCUCCAAGGCUUAUUCAGAAAUCUUUGUCCUCGAAGCGCCUAGCCAGCCCUCGUGGAUGGACCCAUAUGUGGCCUUCCUUUCUAAUGGUACCUUGCCCCGAGACAAGCACGAGGCGCAGCGGUUACGCCACAAAGCUUCACUCUACCUACUUAGAGGCAAGAAGUUAUACCGCCGUGGUCAGUCGUGUCCCUUUUUGAGAUGCUUACCUACAGAAGAAGGGCAUAAAGUGUUGAAAUCACUCCACAGUGGUGUUUGUGGAAACCAUGCAGGAGCUCGGAACCUCAUGUUUAAAGCACUAAGAGCUGGAUACUAUUGGCCAACAUUAGAACAAGAUGCAAAGGCAGUUGCCCAAGUAUGCCUUCACUACCACAAAUUUGCUAAUUUUGCCCACCAUCCCCCAGUUCCACUAUCUGUCAUCAUUUCCCCAAUCCCUUUCAGCCACUGGGGCCUCGACUUCGUGGGACGGCUACCCACAGCCCCGGGACAACUCAAAUUUGCAAUUGUCAUUGUGGACUAUAACACGAAGUGGAUAGAGGUAGAACCUCUUGCCACAAUCACAACUGAAAAGGUGAUAAACUUCCUAUGGCGUAAUUUAUAUUGCCGGUUUGGAGUACCACAAGCAAUCAUCACAGAUAAUGGGACACAAUUUGACAAUGACACAUUCAGAGAAUUCCUCUAUGAGCAAGGCAUUGCAAUCUUCUAUGCCUCCCCAACACACCCUCAGACUAAUGGCCAGGUGGAAGCCAUAAACAAGUUUAUCAAGCAAAACCUGAAGAAACGCCUAGAAGAUGCUAAAGGGUUAUGGGCUGUCAAGCUCCCAGAAGUCCUCUGGACAAUUCGUACCACCCCAACAACAGCCACAGGGGAAUCCCCAUACCUCUUGUCCUUUGGCACCGAGGCAGUGAUCCUUGUGGAAAUGGAGGUCCCGAGUGAACGUAUCACAACAUACGAUCCCAAGACAAACGCCACGGGGCUACGACUCAACAUGGACCUCCUCGAGGAACGCCGAGACAGAGCACAUCUCAGAAAUGUCAACAACAAACAAAAGAUUGCUCGACACUACAACAAGAAAGUAGUUCCCUGCCCUCUAAAGGUAGGUGACUGGGUCAUGAAAGAGGUCAUUCCCCACCCCACUAGACUCAAGGCAAAGUGGGAAGGCCCACUGGAGAUAGUCAAUGCCCCGGGGCCAGCUACAUUCUAUCUCCGCGACACUGAUAGCCGAGUCCUACCUCUCCCCUGGAAUGCUCGCCACCUCCACCUCCACCUCCACCUCUACCCUAUUUAAAUUAUCAGCACUCCAAAGACAACAUGGCAGCUAGCACUUCAUUACUUUUGUAUACUUUAGCCCGAUAGCAGCCCAAAUCAUAUGUACACCUUGCCCAUCAGCGGCCAAUCCUAAAUGAAGAUGUUGUAUUCUCUUUUUUAACAUACCGUCCCAAGAACACGGAAUAAAAUCACAACAAGGGGUGAACCACGUAAAACAACAUUCUUUAAGUACACAAAUGUCAAACUGGACUCCAAGGCAAUUCAUAAAUAACAAAUUGUUAAAUGGCUAACCACGCCACCAUCAUUGUUUCACAAGCAAACAAAACAAGACAAACUAAGAUAAACAUCACAAAAACAACAAGUUAAAGAACUUCAUCAUUUCUCCCCAGAGGAUGCGCCACUUGACUUGUUCACACUCUCGCCACUCUUUGAACCACUGCCACGACCACGGCUCUGGCUGAUAUUCACUAAAACCCUCUGCCCAUACGCCUGCUUAGAAUGGUCACGAGAUGCCAGGGGAGGUCUCAAGGAAACACUAGGACGCACUAGAGUGCUCGCCUGUUACACUUCGGUGACAGGGGACUUGCUCGCUGGCGUCUUCUGCAAUUCAAUACGAGGCGCCGCCACCGGCCUCGGUGCUCGAGGGAUAAGGGGUUCAAUAACAGACGACGCCACCUGAGACACUGCCACUUGCGCGGAAGGGGAUCCCUCGGGACGUGGAGCCCUUAGGGGAGAAGCAACCAUCGCAAGCGGCCGAGGCAUGCCCACAACAGGAACUUCUUUGGGCGCCGUAGAGGAGGUGGCACGCCAGGUCUCACACUGCUUUGCCAGCGACCGCGAGAUAUCGGCUUGCUUCCUCUGUUCCGGGGUCAUCUGCUCCCAAGCCUUCCUCGCUGCAUCCCUCCUGGCAUAAAACUUGCGCAUAGCGGCCUCAUUAAUCCAGCCAGCUUGGCACCCAGUCUUGCUCAGCUCAUCUUGUCCCUGGUUAUAAGCACUCUUCAGCUGCUGCUUAUACAAAUCGCUAUCCCGGAACACCCUCUCCCCAGCCCCAGCAGCUCUUGCACACUUUAACUUCCACGCCUUCUCUUGCUCUGCCAAGGCAUGGUUCAACCUCGCCACCUUAGCUUCCAAAGAAACCACCUUGGCGACAGCCACCUCCCCAGCCUCCACUUGCUUGUCCUUCUCUUACAUAACUUCUUUCAGCUCAGCAACCUCCUUCCCAGAUACAGCAGCCCGAUCUCAGAAGACAUCAACAUCCUGCUCCACUUGCUCCAGACGCUACGAGAGGGCAUGGUUGUUCUCCUCUGUCUCCCUUUAGCUGCUGACAUUUAGCCUCCGCAUCCCCUUGCAAGUGGUUAAUAGCCCUCUCACUUGCAGCGUUGCUUGCAGAUACGAGCCAGAGCAUAAGAAAAAAAUACAGACAUUGAAAAAGAGCAAAUUGAACAUUAUGUACUCUCACCCGAGUCAACUUCUCCUUGGCGAGAGCCACACCGGCCAAGGGAUCAACCUCCUCUAGGGCAUUAAUGUCACGAGCGCGGUGCCACAUGUCAUAUGCCAUUUGUGCCAAGUAAGGCUGCACCUCCCCUGUCCCCUCCAAUGCCUGGGUGAUCUCAGCCAAGCUCCCGGAAUGCCCUUCCCUCUGGGAUUAUUUUGGUUGACCCUCACGAGACGACUCCACCCUCUCUUUCCUCUUCCGAGUCUUUGUCACAACAACCUCCCCGGAUUCUUGCCCUAGGGGUUCCACUUCCUCCACCACAAGGUCCUCGCCACCAGUUCGGAGCUCGCCCAUGUUAUCCAAAGAUGUGUCUUCCACUCCAACUGGCUCCAGGACAAGCUCUUCCUCAACCGGAACUUGCUCAUGAUAAUCCCCGUGGUCGCCACCCUUGGUUUCCGUCUCCUCGUCGUUCACUUCUUGGUCACCCAAGCCCAUUACUUCUGCCACCAAGGGAGGCACAUAGGUAUAAUCCUCAUCCGCCAGAUUCAACCUUAUAAAGUCAUCUUCACCCUCGCCAAGCUCCACCUCUUUCCCUUCACUAGUCUCCAAGUCGAUGUCAUAUCGCUUGGCAUGAGUAGCCUCGGCAAGCAACCCAUCCAGCACAUCCUCGUCAGAGACCUUGUCGUAAGGAUCUUCCUUCUUUCGCGACCCAUCGUCCCGCGGCAUUGUCACUGCACCAGAUAGAAAGUGAGGAUCAAAAAAAAAAAAAAAAAAAAAAGACAUAACCCGUGAAACCAUUCAAAGCAAAAUCAGACCCGGGACCCGGGCAUAACCGAAAUGACUAUAUAUGCCGAGAUGGCAUAUCCGGUACGAACUCCUACACUUGAAUGCCCACAACACCCGACGUAUCCGACGCUCCAUCAGCUCGGUUAAUUUAUAUUCUUGGGGCACUACACAAAGUCAACAGUCAGCAGGGGCAGAACAGUACAAACAACAAGAAAACACAAGACACAAAACACGGUACCUAUUUUUUGGAAGGCCCUGGGAACUCAGAAGGGAUGUCCAUGCCACUCUUGCCAUUGCCCCCCAACAAGGAAACACUUCCGUCGCUAACUCUCGUUCGUCGAGGUGGGCAAGUCUUCCACCAGGAUCUUGAACUUCCCCCGAGACUUUAACGUAACACAACCCCGGCUGCCCUUCUUCGCACAAUACACCAUGUGCCAGCACGCGUUGAACUCCUCGAAAUUGGGGAACUCUUGCCCCAGCAGACGGAAUAAUACCCCUAUCCCCAAUAUUUGCCUCAACAUAUUCGGGGUAACUUGCCCUGGGGCGACAUGCAAACACGCUAGAGUGUACUGCACGAAAGGGGGCAGCGGGAACAUCAACCCGCACCUUAGUUGGUACUUGUAUAUCAAGGUGAAGUUGUCCUGCGGAUCAAAAACUUAACACCCUUGCCGAGAGGCCACAAUAAGACCUCAUCGGGAAUACCCCAGUUCUGCCUAAGAGCUUUUAACUCUGACGACGUCAUACUCUCGCCAGGAGGAUCCCAGAACGAGUCGUCAUCUUCCCGAGAUCUCGCCAUGCUAAACUUUUCUACCUCCUGCAAGAGAGGGUCAGACGAGGAGACGUGAGACCCAGCAUCCGUAAUAGAAUUCCCUCCCCUAAGUCAAGUGCAACCUCCGCCAUAAGAUAAUUCACUUCCUCCUCCCACCGGUGCAAGGUGUCCGAAUCAAGAUCAGUCGAGGUAGAGACAACCACAAUCUCCUCGUUGGACACCCACACCAAAUCUGUCAUACCCUACAUCCUCACAUGUUAGACUCUCGCUACCUUAACCCUAACUAACCUGACAGCAAACCACCAAUCCCUUACUGUAGACUCUCCUAGCAAAAUCACAAAUGAUGCAAAAACCACAGCAUAACCCUACCGAUUCGACACAAAACAGAAGUAGAACCCAAAGAAGGAAUUGACAAGUUCAUACCUCGAAAACUUGGAUAUGUGUAGUGGCAGUGAAGCUGGUUGCAAACAGCCGAGCGCUUACACUCGAUCGAUCGAGGAUGGAAUUGGACAUUCCCCAGGUUCGAUUCCACAGAUCGGCGAAACCCCUCUCUGGAAAAUCGCAAACCACUCUUUUAGCCCUAGUCCCUCUGUUUUCGAAAUGCAAACUCCCUCCUCCUGUUUUCUCCAGGCCUAUUUAUAGGCAUCCAAAUUAACCUCGACCGUCUAGAUCUCCCCCAUCUCAAUGGUCAGGGAAUAGCCACGUCGACCAUGAUCAAGCGACGCAUUCAAGACGUGCCCCACGAUCCCACGCACGCACGUCAGUUACGCGCACGUUACAAAAAAAAAAACCAACGAAACCGUUACGACCCUAAAACUCGUCAUAAAUGACCACGUGUUCCUCAUAAACUGGCCAUUUAUGACACACAUGAGAUAUGACGCAAAAGUUCGUAUCGAGUUCUCGGAACUCAACCCUAGCCUCCUCGCAACUCUCGCGUGAGGACUUAGGGACUAGGCACCAUGCCUCCAACUCCCGGUUAAGACACAUUCUCGGCACAAUUUGGGAAUAACUCCCCACCCAAGAGCUCUCUUGGACUGGGGACUUGGGAACUUGUUAAUACACAGCCAAAACACUUGGCCAUGCCGAGAAUAUGAUGUCAUUACCCAAUCACCGGAGAUCAUUCCGGCCAAGGCACCACCAACAAGACCUCCUUGAGCAACCAAAGAGUGGAGGCAUAACAGUAAUACACAUGCUAGACCCACUUAGUAACUGCUAAACACCCCCGAAAGGGAAGAGACUGAAGAACACCAUGAAACAGUCCCACAUCAGGAACUAAUGACAAAACCUCCAAUACUAGCCUAUAAAACAGGCACAAAUUCCCAACAGAGGUAAGUUUACUACUACUCCCAUACUCACGUACUAUACAAGUAGCAAUCAAACGCUGACUUAAGCAUCGGAGAGUCGAAGAUUGGGCCACCCCAAUCCCGACUCCUGACGCAUUGUUGCUUGUGCAGUUACAGGACCCGGAGCAAAGGAUUCGACCUCCCGUCCUGUGAUCCCGGGAGAGGUAGAAACAUAGGUAUAUACUCUCGCCUAUCCACAAUCGCUCAAGAAGAAGAAAAUCAAGACUCGAACGCAGCAAAGAAUCCAAGUUGCACUACCUCAACGUAUUGGCACGCCGCGCAGAAGAAGUGUUCGAGAAAAUCCAGGUUCACCCCGAACAAAUUAAGCCUAAACUCUACGACUUAGAGAGUGAAUGUCAAUUCCGGAGUUUUUGCAAGAUUCUUCUCCAACUUGGACCCUGCCAGCUUUGUUUCUUUUAGUUACCUUGAGAUAAUCUUGUUUUAGGGCAUCCAUUGGAGGGAGGUUUCUUUCCACAACCUUGAUACUCUUUGCUCUCUGGGACUUGGCCAAAGAUAUCUUGACCUUCUCCUUCUCUAGCUAGUUUAUUCAGCUCUUCAUCACAUUACCAAGAUAAAAUUUUGGCGUUGCUCAAAAAUUGCUUUGUUUUGUGAAAGCCUUCUCCAACAGGGAGUGUCGUUGAAUACAUUCAUUCGCCACUCUUGCAGCUGCACCGGAGGCCUCAAGGACAGCAGGGAAAUCUGCGAUUUUUGCUUCCAAUUCUUCCAAACCACUAACCUCAUCUUCAGUAGCUUGCAGCUUAAGGAAGAUGAUGUACUCAAAAGCUUUCUUCACAGUAUCUCUCCAAACUUGCAUUAGAUAAUCCACUAAGAAAGUGUCUUGCACAUUUUCAGAUGCAACAAGUAUCUCUAAAAGUAACUGUUGAAAGCCCUGUAAACCGGUCAUGUAACUGUUUAUAUAACUAGCAAUGUAAAUACUAUUUAUCUGAUUUGGACAUGGAACUAGCAAUGUAAAGUUCAAAGUAACUACCUUUUUUUUUAUAUAUAAAAUUGUUAAUAUUUGCAGUGUACCGCUGCACCACAACGCCAUCGUUUCGCUGCAAAGUAAUGAACUUACUAAUUGUUUAUGUAACUGUUACAAAGCAUAUAUAACUAGUCAUGUAACCGUUGAAAGCCAUGUAACUGUUUAUGUAAGUAGCAAUGUAACUACCACUUAUUUGUUAUGGACAUGUAACUGAUAGGGAAACUAGAAUGUAACUACGAAUUGAAGUAACUGACAAUAUAACUAGCCAUGUAACUGUUGAAAAUGAUGUAGCUGGUCAUGUAACUAGCCAUUUUUGGACAUGUAACUGACAAUGUAACUAUUUAAAGUCAUGUAACUGGUUAUGUAACUACCAAUGUAACUACCACUUAUUUGUUCAUUAGUUAUCAAUGAACUAAAAAGAGGGAGUAAAGGCGAGGUAGUGUUGGCGAAAAUGGACUGGAGGUUGAUGAUGAUAUGUAACAGUUAAAAUGGAUGGACUGGAGGUUGACGAUGAUAUGUAAUAGUUAAAAUGGAUACGUAACUAUCCAUGUAAUUAUUGAAAACCAUGUAACUGGAAAUAUAACUAGCAAUGUAACUAUCUUUUACAUGACAUGAACAUGUAACUGUUGUUGUAACUAUUAAAAUGGAUAAAUAGCUAUCCAUGUAACUACUGAAUGUCAUGUAACUGGCAAUGUAACAACCUUUUAUUUGACAUGGACUUGUUGUUGCAACUGCUAAAUUAAUAUGUACUUAUGUAGCUAUUGAUGUAACAACUGAAGGUCAUGUAACUAGCAUUUAGUAAUACUAUUUUGUUGAUAUUUGCAAUGUGUCAUGAACAUGUAACUGGCAAUAUGUAACUAUCCGUGUACUGACUAAGCUUAAGUAACUGAUCAUGUAACAUACAAUAACUACUUAAGUAUCAGGAAGAACAAGCAGAAAUUCAUGAUUGUUUGUAAAGAUCCAAACAUACCAUAUAGAUUUAUGGUGCAUGCUCUGAGAUUACACGAAAUGUGAUUUCCUCGCAGGUCCAAACAUACCAUAUAGAUUUAUAUCACAUAUACAUGAGUUUGUAAAGAUCCAAUUGACAUUGAAGAAAACAGUGAUGAUCAACCUAUAGAUGCACGCUUCAUAUAAAUAAACUCGUGAUUGUGUAAUCGAUGCAAUUCAUUUGACUCGAGCGAUCUGCUCGACGUAACAAUUGUUCCCAGUGAAUGAACAGGCUUACAUUUACAUACCCUAUCUCUCAAAGAAUGAAGAAAACAAGAAAUACACUCAUAAUAGGAAUAAAGAAGAAACGAAUAUAACUCUCAGUAAGCUAACACACACCAACGCACAUAUAUACAGGCAAAUGAUGAUGAGACUAACGCGCGCACUGUAACAAUCUUGUACAUGGAAGCUUGAGACAGAAAUGUAAUCAAUCAAUUGAGAUGUAGGCUGGAGUUUGAAUUUUGUUGGUAACUGGGGGAAUGCAGGUCCCUGGAUGAAGGAGAGAGCUCACCACCGGCAGGUAAGUCGGCAAGAGUGGCGAGCAUGCGACGAAUACUUACAGAUCGAGCUGGUUUGAAGCUAUGGGAUCUCAUCAUGUUGGAUUUGGAGGAGAAGAUGUUUGAUGACUUGGAAAGGAUGAGAUACACCAAACCCUGAACCAGGAAAAACAGGGCUAUCUUCACCAACGUAUCUGCUAAGCUCAAUUCCAUGGUGUAGAUCGAGAUAAUGAAUAUGAUCGGUAGUUCUGCUAGCUAGUUAUCUGCUUCCAGAUCGAUGAACAAUUAGUAAUGGAGAUGGACAUGCCUAUAUAUGUGUAUAUUUAUAGGGAAUUAAGGGGUGUGCGUGGAUGAUGAAUGAGUUAGCCAACCUGUUUGACUUGCCGUAACACAAGUCUAGAAUUGGUCGCGUUCGUGGCAAUUACAUGCUGUGUUGACCAAACUAAACAUGUUAAGCAGUUGAGACUUGAAACUUGAAACUUGAAAUGUCAAGCAGAAGAAGAGGGAACUGGGACUGGGUCAAACCAAGUAGUCCUUGAUUCUUAUCCAAUACAUGUAGAUCCAUGGCGAUCAUCAUCACUAACCUAAUCCAAUUGCAUGCAUAUUGAGUGAUUAGGACGUGUUUGUCCGAUUGAUUCAUUUCACGUGUAGAAAUGACCGGGAUAUAAUAAGCGCUAGACGACUUGUUGAAAUGACCAAGCAGAUUAGUUGCGCAGCCUGCCUGCCUUGCCUUUUGGCCUUCUUUUACUAUACAGAUCGGAGUCUGGGGCCGGCCGGAUUUUUCAACCAUUAGUUUCUUUCUCUUGCUUCCACGGCAAGUCUUAAUCAGUUAAUCUCCUCAGAUAUCAACGUGUAUCUAACUCAACCCAACUCACCUCACCUCGAUGAUCACCAGCUAAAAUCAAUUCUCACAUUCUAUCGUACACAACUGAACAACUAGUAGUCAAAUCCUACUUGGACAUCUCUAUUAUCAUAAUAAUAAUAACAUCACCCCGGCAAAAAAAAAUAUGUUAUUUGGAUUCUAGAUGGAAUCCGCACAGCUGCGACUUUUCAGUUUCACAACAAAUAUAUCGUUGCCUGUGUCAGUGUGUCAAAUACAUGUUACAUCAUGGAAGAGUAUUCCGAUCAAAGGUUUACUGCUAAAGUGAACAGAGAAGUUGAGAACACUCUGAUUCCACAUAAACCACAGACGUAGACAAGCCUUCUAUGAAUUAACUGAUGCUGGAGGCGAAGAAGGUAAAUAGAUUACUUGAACCCCCGGCUCUAAAAAGGAGUGGGAGAGGGAGAAGGUGGGAAUAAUGCACAAUUGACGUUCAUGAGAUCUGUGUUAUUGACUUGCUGAACCAACCAAAAAGGUAAACAAGAAAAAGUGGAACCACUCGCUGCAGAAUUACACUCCAGUUUUUGUAUAAGAACUUUCAGAUUCAUCCAAAACCAUUUUACUGUAACCCACCUGCUGUCAAGAUAUUAGAAUAGAUGUAUUAGUCCAGAUCCAAAUAAUCACAAGCCUUAAUUAUUUGGUAUUUUGUAUUUAAAAGACGAAACAAGCUAGUUAAGAAACAUGACUUUCCAGUUGACAGAGCAUUGUAACCACCCUGGUCAUCAGAAAUCAGGAAUAUGCCAUGCCAAAGCUAGGUCAGAUAUUGUAACUUGCAUCCCAAACAAUUUCAUCAACGUGUUGUAAUCGCAAUGAAAACAUCUAUAAACCAUUGAUUAACAAAUUAUGGUAUUUCUUUUCAAAGGGUUACUUUGGUUACAAUCAGUUAUUUGCUAAGGUACCAUUUAAGACUACGCCUGUUUCCACAGAACAAGAGCAAAACAGAAAUCUGUUUAUCUUUAAAGUAGUCCCAAAUUUGCAUGAAUAAGAUUGCAGUUUGUAGCUUGUAGGAAUCUUCAAUUCAAAUCCCACACAAAACUAGGCUGACCUGGUGGUAACCAUCAAAUUCAUCCCAGGAUGGCUAUAAUAUAAAUAUAUACAGACCUGAAUGAAUGAUAUGAAAUAGUUCACUGCCCUCAGGUCUGCUAGAAGCAAAAUGUGAAAGCAAAGCAUUUUAUGAAUCAUGAUGUAUUGUAUAACUACCCAGUUCCUCAAAAGUGAAUGUUAGGAAACUCCUGAAGCAAGCCUAUAUCAAUUCCAAAGGAUGGUAACCCUUUCCCUAAGCAAGCCAAAUCCUUUUUCAUUCCUUUUACCUUUUUGACAACAUUAGACUAGAAAAGUGAUAACUUGACUAGAUGCAAGAUCUCUUAGGAUUGUAGGUGGCUAGUCAUGUCUUGUCUGUAAUUAGAUACUGAAAUUAGAUCCAGAAACCACAAACCUCACUCUUAAACAGGUACUUGACGUUUAAAGACAGACACAUGUAAGUAGUAUAAGUUAAGCCACGUAACGUUGAAUUUGUGAUGCAUUUGUGAUGGUAAAACUUCAAAACUACUAGAAAGCAUCAUUUACGCCUAAUUGUUCUGUAAGGUAGUCAGGGCCAGUAUAGUUCUCUUGUUCUGUUUCAACAAACAAACGCCUUUUUUCUCAUUAAAAAUCUCUACGGGCUGUCAAGUAACACGAAAGGAUCAUGAAUGUAUACUUGGUAAGAAUCUACCAUUUACUGAAGAAAACAGAUACAAUGCCGAGACUCCUGAUGCAAACCUGGAUUCAUAGUACAGGCAAUUGUUGUUUACCUGAACCAUUAUACUAAUGCUGUCAUAUCGAAAUGUAAUAAUCUGAGUAAAAUCCUGGAACCUAGCGAGCUAUAAAACAAGAAAGCUGAGCUGUGAUUGAUAAUUUUCUCCUACAUUUCAAAGAAUGAAGAAAGUGGGAAGGAAAACAAACCGUUGCGGUGGUCGUGGAGUUGAAGACGGUAAUGGACAAGACGUUGAAGUCGGUGUUGGGAGUCUGGAGGGUGGUCGACGUCGGUGGGGAGCUGAAAGCGGCAGAGGGGGCAUGAACUGCGGGAAGAAAGCCAAGGGAGGAUGCAGUCAGGAUGGUACACGUGGCUGCAAGCCAGCUGCUUAGCCUCCGCAUCCUCCGCAAAUUGCUCCUUACAAACAGCGCACACCGUCAUUGAACGUGACGUCAUCUUCACGGUCGGGAUGACGUCUACGUAGGCCUUGGAAGCCGGCAGUAAGUAGACAUUAGCGGGCGGGGGCGGAAGGACGUCGGCGGCGGACAGAUGGUGGAUCAGGCGGCGGAGGAGUGGGCUGUUGAGGCGGUCUGCUUCUGGAGCAUGAGUGGAGUAGUCCAUGAGCUCCAGGAGGUCGCUGAAGCAGUGUGGACAGGCGACGGUCGUCGCCGGCAGAGUCACGCUCAUGUCGCACACGUGGCACCAGAACGUCAGCUGAUCAUGAACAAUCUCCAUCUCCAUCUCCAUCCAAUAUGAAUUGGAAAUUGGAAUUAUUUCUUGCCACACUCACCAGAACAGGUGAGGCCAGGGCCCUUGCAAAUUUGGGGAUUGAGAGCCAAGACGUAAUUAUAGAUUCCUUAUUAUCAUUUUUUUGACUGCUCUUGUUUUCUUUUCUUUUUUUCUUUUUUUACUGCGCUUGAUGGAUGUGAAUAUAUGGUGAAAUGCCACUGUUCCCAUUUUCUCACUCCCAAGUCUCCUCCUCCCUCCUCUAUCUAGAGGUUGCAGUUGCAGUUGCAGCAGGCUUCAACUGCAAUCUUCUCAUACUGUCUGUUAGAUCGAAUCAUCUUCUUUUUUAGAGUCUUUUUUUUAACUCAACUUGAAGAGAACGUCAGCUGAUCAUGAUAAACUUGCAUACGCUAAACAUGUGUAUCCAAGCAAUCAUAUUCUCAUAUAUGUCACAAGAGCAGUGUAAAUGUAAUAGUAACCGUAGUUGUAACCAGUGAUAUAAUAUGAUCAAUCACCUAAGAAAGGUGAUUCGCUUAACAGUACUUCGAUUAACCGAGGUGUCAAAAACUCAAAAAUUAACAAACAAACUCUCAAGACCUGUAACAAAUACCAGAUCAAUAUGAGCACAUGUGUCAGAACUAAGAUUAGAAGUCAAAAGCGACUCGGGUCCCAAGUGUUGAUCAAAAUUCCACCAAGCCAAAAUCAAGGCUGCCAAAUAUGAAAAAGAAAACCCCAACCUCAAAGAGGUGAGAGAAAAUCUUACGUGCAACGGUCGUGCCACGUCGACGGUGUGACCCACCAGUCACAGGCUGACACAUUUUUUUUUUCCUAGCUCUUCUUCUUCCUCCCUUCCUCUUCUCCGGCGAAACCGAUCCCCUCCGGCGAAAAAAACAUGGCAGGUUCUUUCCCUCUGCCCAGUCGCCGUCGCCUCAAACCUUGAACCCCUCCCACCUCCACUAUAAGCCUCACCGCUCCAACCUGCCACAACCACCGUCGAGCCGCGCCUCUACCAACCUGUGCAAAUCACGCCUCCACCAACCAGUGUAAAACCCGCUGCCAUGAAUCCUUGUCACCCGUCGUUGGCUCAUGGUAGAUCCAAACGAAGCUUCGCCGGAGGGGAUUGGUUUCGCCGGAGAAGAGGAAGGGAGGAAGAAGAAGAGUUGUGAAAAAAAAAAUACGUGUCAACCUAUGACUGGUGGGUCGCACCAUCCACGUGGCACAACCGUCGAACCUAAGAUUUUCUCAAGAGGUGAACCCUAGCCGCUAAUCUAUUCAACCAAUUGUCUGCCAUGUCACCACUGCCACACUAACUCUGGCUUGCACCUCUAACCAUCAGGCAAAACAACUUCAAUGCACAUGUAGAGGACAUGGUCCUGAGGAAGCCGCGGUCACCAACUCCUCGAGUAGACUCACAAACACGAAACACCAGCCUUAAGAGGAUUUGCAACAAUGCUCUUGUUCACUAUUCAAGCAACCGUCAACUAGUUCUCCACCCUCUGUUGUCUACAUACUCUUCAAGGAGGAAUUUUUUUUUCCGCAAUCGCUCUUCCAUGCGCAUCUCCUCUAGUUGGAGUUUUAUUUAACAAAAGAAUCUCAUGCCUAAGAAAGUUAAUCAUGGCUUGUUUUUUUUUUUUUUUGGCUUAAACCUCGAUGAAAUGAGGGUAAUUUAUUGAAAAUAAAUAAGAGAACUAUCCCGUAGUAGGAGGGAUCUAACUCAACUCCCAUCGAAAACAAAAAGCAAACCUAUAACUCACAACAAAACAACGAAAGGAGAGAAGCCCCAACCAAUCGCUAUUACAAAAAGAAAUAAUAAAAUUUGGGGGCACGUCCCACCACGUCAAACGUGAUGAAUUUAUCCCUAUUUCUUGUCGCCUAUUUCAUCCCGAUGGAGAGGUAAUUACAAAGCUAUUUAUGAUUAAUUUGUACCAAAUGUAUGUUGAUUGGUCGGACAACGACAAUAUCUUUGUUAGAGGCACAAACAUCACAAUGCCUGCUAUUGUAACCUCUUGACAGACUUCAUGAGCUGUUGUAUAGGCACUUUGAAGCUUGAUUUUAGACUUUGUUUCCUUGGGUCCAUAAUGAUGGGUUUUCAUACUCUUUUUUUUUUUGAAAAGAAUGAAUAACUUCAUUGAUCGAAAAGAUCAUACAAGUCAACGAGCUCUCUUGCUUAAUCUAAGGGAUCUGAAGAUGACCUAUAACAUCCACUGCUCAGGUAGCUAGUGCACCGAAUGCACAUUUAACAAUGACUCCUAAAAACUCCUACACCUUGACCGAAGACAGCACAAAAUUUAACCCAUCAGUAUAUUUGCCUAGAGACUUUUAUGGUGUACGUCAAUAUUGGUGCAAUUGCGUUAAACCUUAUACUAACUAAAGACCAAGAGAUACAGGGCUAUUGCCCACUCCACCCUCCAAAAGAAAAAACAUUAUUAGACACAAAAUAAAUUAAACUAUAAUAAAAAAAUCAAGACCUAGAGGGUUCCUAUACGAGCACAGCAGCCUCAGAUUCUUUGAACGCACGCGCCUUCCAUUUCUAGCUGUUUUUGAACUCGAUCGUGAAUUGGUCAGUUUUUUCUUCGUUUCUCUUUGAUUUUCUGGGUUUUCUAUUGAGCUCUGGUGGUGAAUCCACCUUUCAUCUUCUCCGCCCUUCCUUUAGGAAAUGACGAAGCCUCUGAAACUAUGCUUAGCCAACGCAAACGAACUAAAUCUGGUGGUGAUAUCAACUCGGAGAUGGAAGCACUCUGAGUUGAAGAUCUUGACUCUUCUACUCAGAUCCCCUCAUCCAUGUUUCCUAAAAUGUCUUAUGCUAGUUCUCUGAAGAAUUCCACUGAGCGCUUCUCACAGACUAUGUCUGAAGAGUUUGAUUUUACUGAUGCUGAUUGUACUUACUCAAUGGGUAAGCAUGGUCAGAAUGUCUCCUUCUCUGAAAAGGUGCAUAACAAGCUAGAUUUUGAAUGGCGUUGUGCAGUUGUUGUCAAGCUCAUGGGUAAGCCUAACUCUACUAAUUCCUUUAAUUUCAUGUUAAAGGGUCUUCGUAGGAAAUGGCAGACUAGAGGUGGUUGGCAACUUAUUGAUUUACCUAAUGAUUUCUUCAUUGUGAAAUUUAAUCUUGAAGAAGACAUGAACUAUGCAUUAUGUGGUGGUCCUACGAUUAUUGCGGGUCAGACACUUGUUGUGCAGAAAUGACAUCCUGGUUUCAAUCCUGAUUGUGAAGUUAUUGGUAAGAUGGCUUUAUGGGUCAGAAUCUUGGAUUUACCUGUUAAGUUUUUUAAGGACUUCACUGUUGCUAAGAUUGGCAAGAUUCUAGGUGAUGUGGUUAAGGUGGAUCCUCUUACUAUUGGUCAGUCUAGGGGUAAAUUUGCUAGGGUGUGUAUUGAAAUUGAUCUUAGCAAACCAUUAAGGCUUGUUGUUGAAGUUGAAAACAUUGCUUAUCAUGUGGUUUAUGAAGGUAUAUCCAUGAUUUGUUUUGAGUGUGGUUGUUUUGGACACCCCAAGGAUAAAUGCCCUUCCAUUGUUACUGCUAAAGUUGAUGUUUCUUCUCAUCAAGACCCUUCUGAAGUGGAAAAUGUUCCUAAUGCUCAAUCUGAGGUGGAGAUGCAUGCUUCUGAGGACAUUGUUAAGGAAGAUAUGGGUCCAUGGAUGCUUAUGACUUACAGAAACAAAAAGAAGAAUGGCAAUUCUGGGAGGUCAAAGAAUCUGAAUGCUUCUGGCUCUAGGUUCUCUGUGCUCCAAGAAGAGGAAAUUAAUGAGAAGGUUCCCAAUGUUGAGAAUGAUGCUGACAUGCCUUCUGGAGACACUCCUAAUAUUGUGAAAUUGUGGAAUAAUUUCCAAGAUAAAAAGAAGAAGACCAGUAAGUCCAAGAACAACCUUAGCUCUACAUCCAAUCCUAAACCCCCAAUGGUGACCAGUAAAUCCUCUCCUAAACCUUCUAAAGUUCUUAAUGUGAAUUUUGAUGUCAAUGUCUCUGAUACUUUAGCUAGACAACCAAUGAAGGAUGUUUCCAAUGUUGGCAGCAGUGGUAUGACCAAAACUGAUCUUCAGUACCAAAGGAAAGCUAAAUUUCUUAACGGUUCCUCCUCUAAGCAGAAUUCUCAAGUUUUCAAGAAACUUUCAUUUGAAAAUGUGAGCAGCUUCGCUUUAGGAGGUGAUUUUUCUGCUUGCUUUGGUCAUUCCCCUCCUGAGGAGUCUAUGGAGGUGAAUAUCUUAUAGCCUUUGCCUUCUAAUGAUAGUACAACUUUGGUUGUUGAUAAAAUCUUUAAUGAUAAUAGCAUGAUUUCUUGUGAAAAUGAUCAGCCUUCCCAUGAUGGAGAAGGUAUGGUUGAUGCUUAACUGGAUAUUUUUAUCCAUCUCUUCCAAAUGUUUCCAAUGAUUAAAGUCCUAUUUUGGAAUGCAAGGGGUGCUGGAAGUGAUGACUUUUUGUCUGCAGUUGCAAAUAUUGUCAAAAUAAAUUCUGUUGAUAUUUUAGCUAUAUGUGAACCUUGUGUUCAGUUUCAAAAAUCUCGUGAUUCUCUUUUAAGGAUUGGUUUUUCUGAUUUUGAAGUUGUUGAAGCCAUUGGAUUCUCUGGUGGUAUAUGGUUACUUUGGAAUAAAAGUAAAGUUUCUGUGAGCAUUAUUGAUAAAAAUUCUCAGUCUAUUUCUGUCAAAGUCAAUAUUCCUGGGAAAUUUUGUUGGAUGCUCUCUGCUAUCUAUGCCAGCCCUACUCACUCCAUUAUAGCUAACCUCUGAUCCUAUUUUGAUAGUUUGACUCAGUUAGUUGGCCUUCCUUGUAUUUUUAUUGGUGAUUUUAACGAGCUGGUGUCUCCUAAUGAUAAAAACUGUGGGCUUUUUUAUGAAAGAUUUGCUGGUUUGAAGGACUGGAUGAACAAAAACGCAAUGAUUGACAUGGGGUUUACUACCUCUCGAUUUACUUGGAGUAAUAACAAGAUCAAAGAGAGACUUGAUAGAGGUUUUUGCUGUUGCUCUUGGAGAAGUUUAUUUCCUGAGGCUUUUAUCCAACACUUGCCUAAAACUAGAUCUGACCACUGCCCAAUCUUGUUACAGCUUUUCUCCAAUAAUUUUGUUAAUAAACUUGACACUCCUUUCAGGUUCCAAGCAAUGUGGUUUUCUCAUGCUGAUUAUUCUAAAUUUUCUGAAAGCACCUGGAAAGCUCUCAAUGGUGAUCUUAGUACUAAAGUGCAACACAUGGCCUCUGCUCUCUCUCAGUGGAAUAAAGAUGUUUUCAGACAUCUAUUUCAGAAGAAAAAAAGACUUUUAGCAAGAAUUAGUGGAAUUCAGAAAGCUAGAGACAGGUAUGAAAACCCGUUUUUAAUUAAUUUGGAGGCUGAUUUGAUUCAUGAAUAUGAGAAACUUAGAGAUCAAGAAAUAUGUUCUGGAGGCAAAAAUCUAGGGAUGAUUGGAUUAGAAAUGGUGAUAGAAAUACAAAAUUCUUUCAUCUAACUACUAUUGUUAGAAGGAGGAAUAAAAUUAAGGGUCUCUUUGAUUCCAGUGGAAACUAGUCCACUGAUUCUACUACUAUCAAGAAGAUUGUUGUGGAUUUUUUCAGUGAUGUCUUCUCUCAGUCAGUGCUUGAUGAUAUUAGGAUUACCAUUCCUUGGCUCUUUCCCUUUAUUGAUCAACCCAAAUUUGAUGAUACCAUUAAACCUGUCUCUCUUGAUGAAGUGAAAUCUGCUCUUUUCUCUAUUUGUGGUUUGAAAGCUCCUAGUCAUGAUGGUUUCCCUGCUAUUUUCUUUCAACACCAUUGGCAUUUGCAUUCUUCUGAAAUUUUUCAAGUUGUUCAAGAAGCCUUUUGCACUUCUUCUAUCCCUGCUGGCUUAAAUCAUACAAUAAUUACUCUUAUUCCUAAAGUGGAUGGUCCCCAGCACAUGAUCAACUUUAGGCCUAUUAGUUUUUGUACCACCGUGUACAAGAUUAUUUCUAAGAUUAUUGUUGCCAAAUUAGAACUUUGAUGCAAGAUUUGAUUAGUCCAAAUCAGGUUAGCUAUGUGCCUGGGAGGAAUAUUUCAGACAACAUUAUGAUAGCUCAAGAAAUGCUUUUCAAGUUUAAAAAGUCCAUUGGUAAGACUGGUUUCUUUGCUUGGAAAAUUGAUCUGUCAAAAGCUUAUGACAGGUUCAAUUGGAAUUUCAUUGAAAUGGUCUUGUUUGAAGCUCACUUCCCUAGGCCCCUUGUUAAACUGAUUAUGCAUUACAUCACUUCUACCAGUUUCAAAUUAGUUUCAAUGGUGAGUUGACUGAAUCCUUUCAGGCCAAGAGAGGCAUUAGGCAAGGUGACCCUUUCUCUCCAUAUAUCUUUUUUCUGUGUAUGGAAAAGCUUUCCCAUUUAAUUCAAUCUGCAGUUGAUUAUGGCUAUUGGAAAGCUGUUAAAGCAUCUCAAUCUGGACCUAAAAUUUCGCAUCUCUUCUUUGCUGAUGAUCUUAUCCUGUUUACUGAAGCCUCUUCAUUGCAAGCUUCCCUUCACAAGACUUGUUUGGAUAAUUUUUGUGCUCUCUCUGGACAAACUGUGAGUUUUGAGAAAUAUCUUUAGUGUUCUGCUCACCCAACACUUCCAAGUCUACUGCUUCUUUGAUCAGCAAUGUGUGUGGAUCCCCUCCACUUGUGAUCUUGAAAAGUAUUUAGGUAUGCCUCUCAUUCAUGAUAGAGUCAAUAAGUGCACUUAUGCUGGUUUAUUUGACAAAGUUCAGAAAAGGCUCUCUAGUUGGAAAGCUUUGCUGGUAGACUUACUUUGGUGCAAUCAGUUACUUCAACUAUUCUUAUGUAUGCAAUGCAAACAGCUAAGUUUCCUGUUAGUCUUUGUGACAAACUUGAUAAACUAAAUAGAGACUUCAUUUGGGGUGAUGUUGAAAACAAGAAAAGGGUUCAUCUUGUGAACCGGGACACUAUCUGUCAACCUAAGUAUUUAGGUGGAUUAGGGAUCAAGAAAACUACUGAUAUGAAUCAGGCUAUGCUCUCUAAGAUUGGUUGGAGAAUUUUCCAACAUGAUAAUGGUCUCUGGGCUAAUGUGUUAUAUGCUAAAUACCUUCAACAUGGUUGUUUGUUUGGAAAUGAUUAUAAGCCUCCUUCUGAUGUUUCCAGUACUUGGAGAGGUGUUAUGCAUGGAGCUGAGUUGAUCAAAAAGAAUUUAAAAUGGCAUGUGGGAAAUGGCAAUUCUACUAAAUUCUGGUACGAUUUUUGGCUCUUGCCUCAAGCCCUUAUUAACUCUGCUCUCCCUUCUGCUGUUAUUUUUGAAGAUAUUGUGAUUAGUAAUUUCUGGAAUGCUGAGGGUUGGGAUGUGGAGCUUCUGUUGUCUGUGCUCCCUAGAGAAAUUGUAAUCUUAUUGUUAAUGUGCCUCCUGAUUUUAGUGACAGUGGUGAUGAUACUAGAAUUUGGUGUUCUACUUCUAAUGGCCAAUUUUCAGUGAAGUCUACCUAUAGCUUUAUUUUUGAUUCUUCUGAUCCUGUGAACCCUCAAUGGAAAGCUAUGUGGAAGCUUGACCUUCCCCCUAAACUCAAGACCUUUUUGUGGACUAUUCUUCAUAAAAAGCUGCUCACCAAUGUUCAAUGUGCUACCAUAGGCUUUACUUCUAGCCCUUCGUGUCCCAUUUGUCACUCUGCUGAUGAGACUCUAUUGCAUAUGUUGAGAGACUGUCCUAGAGCUAAAAUUAUAUGGAGAGCUUUCAGUAAACCGGUUUGCAUUGAUAAUUUUUUUUCCAAGAUUGGCCUGGUUGGAUUAAUGCUCAGCUGCAAUGCCAUAUUGUUGUUCAGGAAAAUAUUAGCUGGAAUUGUCUUUUCAUUUUCAUUUGCUGCUUUAUAUGGAAGUGGAGAAACAAGCAAGUUUUUGAACCUGGUUUUGUUUUUCCUACUGGUUUCAAAAAGAUCAUCUGGGACUAUGCUUUGGAAUGGAGAAAGUCUAAACUGAAAUCCAAUGACAAUUACAUGUUCAGCUAUACUAUGCAUGCUUGGAAAAAGCCUCCUGAAAAUUUUUUCAAGCUCAAUGUUGAUGGAACUAGAGUAUCUCCUAUUUGUAAAAUUGGUGCUAGUGGUGUCAUUCGGAAUCAUUAUGGUGAUUGGAUCAGUGGUUUCCAAAUUAAUCUUGGAGUUGGAGAAAUUUUGGAUGCUGAAGCCUAGGGUCUUUUUCAGGGCCUGAAGCUUGUUGUUAGCUUGAAUAUCAAGAAUCUUAUCAUUGAGUCUGAUUCUGCAAUCUUGGUCCAGCUGAUGAAUAACUCUGAGUUUGGCAAUCAUCCUUUAGGAUCUCUUUUUCAGGGAUGCAGUAGCUUGAUGAACAAGAUGGAGAGUGCCACCUUAUCUCAUAUCUUCAGAGAAUGCAACUCUACUGUUGAUGCCUUAGCUAAAUGCAACAUUUCUCAUGAGCUUGGCCUUGUCUAUUUUGACAGCCCUCCUGCUCAUGCUGCUAAUGCAUUCUUAGAUGACUUGUGCGCUGUUUCUAAAGCCAAGAGAGUUGGCAACUGUUUUAGUAUCUAGUCUUUGCUUUUCUUUUGUUUGUGCCUUUUAGGCACCUUCUAUAACCAAAAAAUAAAAAAUAAAAUAAAAAAAUCAAGACGUAGGCUAGGCCCAAGCCUUAACAGAAGAGUCCACAAACAGCAAACCAAGCUCGGCAAAAUCCAACGACAGCCGUCGCCGCCGAUCUGUCGAUUUCCGUCUCACUAGGAUCACCAAACCGACCAUAAGAACUUUCGACGCACCAAAGAUUGCUUCACACUACCAUAAACUCGACACUCCUAGGCUACCUCCGGCAACGAACCCGUCACCGUCUAGCCGCCCCCAAUCUCGCACAAACAAACCAACAAUCGGGCCAUCGAGAGACAAAACCAAAUAUGGCCACCGACAUGAGCUCCUCUUUCCUCUCCUCUAAGACAACUGCCGCAUAACCCUGGCCAGAUAAGAAUGGCGAUCGAUGCACCAGCCUCACAGAUGUGAUCAUGUCCCGUCCGACGAUGACAAAAAGGCACGCUGCCGGACAAGAGAAAAACCCUAGAUUUUGCUCUCAAGGGCGUUGCUCCUUCUCUCGCAAAGUUUUCAUUUUCAUACUCAUUCAUUAGUUUGUUUUAUUUUAUAGAAAAUUUUAACUAGCCUAUUAUAACGCCAUUGUCCAUAAUCAACAGGCUUACUUAAAUAAGUGAGAAAUAGUGAUACUGUAAAAUAAUCAAGUCCAAUUAAUGUGUCAUGUUGUAUUACCAACUUUUUAUUAGGCGCACCCUUCUUUUCUCUCUAGGGUUUCUUCUCCUAGGGUUUUCUGACUGCCCUGCUGCUUUACACCCAAACCUCUCGAUCUACAAUGUCUGAUGAGGUUUCUCAAUGCUUCACGUCGGCUCUGGCCAUCCAUGACGGUGAUUCUCCAUCUUUCAGUGUCAUGAGGUCUUCUCCGGCGCCGCAACAGUUCUUUGUUGUUGGUAGGCUUCUUACGUUGAAGCGCAAGAUCCUAGAUCCAAAAGCCGUCAUUGGCACUCUCACCUCUAUAUGGGAUCUCCAUAAUCGUCUCCAGAUGAGGGCCAAGACGGACCGCUUUGUGCUUCGUUUUACCAGAGCCGAUGACCGAAAAAAUAUUCUGACUAGCGACCUUUGGUUCUAUGGAAGAUCUAUGUUCGUUCUUGCUGAGUAUGAUGGUUUGGAAGAUGUGACCUCUGUUCUGAUUGAUUUGUUCCCUGUCUGGGUCUAAAUCAAAGGUCUUCCAGAUGAACUUAUGACUGAUGAAGCGGUUGAGAAGGUGGGUUGGACACUAGGGCAGGUUGAACAUGUUGAUCAGAUGAACAUCAGAAGGGGAACCUGGGCUCGGGUUUGAAUUUUGCAUAAGCUAAGUAUGCCGAUCAAGGAGGCUUUCGGGGAGAUGCCAUUCGAGUUCAGAUCAAGAAGAUUUCUGGUGAAGUUGACCGUGAAGUAUGAUCAGAUGGUGGGCUUCUGUAGGGUUUGUGGUCUCCUAGUGCAUUCAGAAUCGGGGUGUGCAGGUAAACCUGACCUGCUUCCUCAGUUUAUUGAGAUUGAAUCAAUGAAGACUCCUUUUGGAUUUGGGGGAGUAGCUAGGGUUUCUGGAAACCCUAAUCCUAAUCCUAAUCUAAAGGUGCAACCUAGGCUCUUUGCAUAGCAAACAGAUUUGCAGGUGGACAAAGUGAGAGGUGGUUUCUCAACUUCAACCAUGUCAUUCCUCAAAGCGGUGGUUAACCCUUUUGCAAGCCCUAGCACGCUGCCGAAAUUUUCUUUCUCUAACCCAAGCAUAUCGGCAGCCAACAUGGCUUUGAAGUUGGAUAGGCUGCGGACUCCUCCUGUUUUGCAAUCGGUUCCAAUUGCAGCGCCAGCAGUUGUUGUGGAGUCUCCUCAGGUAUAUACACUUACCCCAUUUCCGGUGUUAAGAGAGGCCCGGAACUUGCUUUAGUUCCUUUGGGGAAACGUGGUAAAGGAGAUGAGGAUUCAGAGUCUAUGGCUUUGGAGCCUUAUGUGCUGGACUUCUCACCAGAGAUGGCUCUACCCUAUUUGGGUGGUGUGAUUGUGGUUUCUCCGGCGAAGAAAAGGAAGCUAGGUCGUCCAAAGGGUUCUUUGAACAAGAAACCUGCUGGUGUUGUCGACCAGACUGUGCAGGGGUCGAAAAGAGCUAAGAAACGCUCUUUUGGAGCUCGAAAAAUUUGAAGAAGGAGUUGGAUAAAACACAAGUUCCUGUGGUAAGUACUGAGUUCUCUUCUGCAGAAGAGAGAGAGGCAGUAGCUGUGUAUUUGGAGCCAGGGUCUGGUGUUCUUGCGGGUGGAAACUCUUCUGGUGGUAGCUCGUAGGGUCUCCUUUUCGGAAUAGUUGGUUUUUGAUGUCUUCUUAAUAAGUUAGUUAUUGUUCUAGGAUAUUCUAUAUCUUUUUAGAUAUUCUAUAUGUGUGUAUUGGUCUUAUGCCAAUAGGAUAUGUAGUUAGACUAGAUCUAUGUAUUCAUAUCCUUACCAUAUUGGUAUUGUGUAAUUCCUUAUAUAAAAGGCUCAUAUCAAUGAAUAAGAUGAUGAUUCUCUUGCUAUCUCUUUGUCUAUACACUUUAUACUUCAUCACGUUAUCAUGCAUUUUGUUCUAACCCUAGAACUAAUAGCCCACCAUUUUUUUUCCAAACCCUAAAAACCAAAACUGGAGGUUCUCAGCCCCACCUCGGCCGCCGCCGCCGCCGUCGCUUCCCGGCCGUCCACUCCGUUGCUUUCUUUUCAUCUGAUCAAGCAUCCAAGUAUUUACGGUAUGUUUAUUUUACAACCCUAAAACUCUUCCAAGUUCAAUAACCUCGGGGGAGAUAAAGUGUUUUCUCCCCUUCUUCUACUCCAUUCUAUGCUUGGGUCAGUGUAUUUGCAAGUACCAAAAAUCCCGAAAUUUUAUUCGCGGGUCAAGAGUGUGUUUGAUCACUCUUGUUUCCUUCUUCGGGUUGUGUAUGAUCAACCAUGACCUAUCACCGGAUUGUGUUUGAUCAAUCCGAGGCCUUUUCCGAAUUGUGUUUGAUCAAUUCGCGGCUUUUCCGGAUUGUGUAUGAUCAACCGAAGGACAAACCAUUAAAAGCAUUGUUUGUGACCUCUAUCGAGUCUCAUAACAGCUUGGUUUUAUAUGUAAGAGCAAUGUAACAUUCUGCUCCUUUGAGUUUUGACGUACUCAUGCCUAAGGUGAAUCUUCGCUUGGUAUCUGUGGAACCUUUCAUUGGAAAGGAUUAAACCAUAUGUUUUGACCCCCAUGCUAACAAGCCUAGAUGCCGAGAUUUCACAUCUCAUGCGUUCAAAGUCUUUGACGCGCCACAUCGACAAAAGCCUUCAAUGGCAAUCUGUACAAAAAGUAAUGACCACAAAGUACUGUGGAAUGCACUCAUGGAGUGUUUCUUGAAACGUUCAUAUAACUCUACUUGUUGAGUUAUUAGUCAAGUGGAUUGCUCACCACUUUAAUUGACUACAUAUUUUUGAUGAUCUUUUGUGGCAUCAUGAUCCAUAAUCUUUAGCGGAUUCGAUCAUCAUCAAGUUCUCUAGGUCCUCCAAGUUGGUUUGGAAUUACCAACGAGACUUGAUUUUGAUCUUACAAUUGCAAACGAGAAUUGUAUAUACGCUAAUGCGAUCAACUUAUUUGGGAUUAUCCCCUAAUGUGGGGACAACAAUAUGGGUCAUGGCAACGGCAGAAAACGUCGUGCCGAUGUCUAGAAAAGAGGGGGAGGUGUCGCCGGCUCUAAUAGCAACACUCCCGGUCUAGACACCAUUUUGUCAAAACUACUCACGUCAGCUCAUGACAAUGCAACUGUUGUGGAUCUUCGGAUCACUGGUUCAAGAUUGUCCAGCUCUUUCAAAUUGUGAAUGCAUACAAAAAGGUACAGAAAAUCAAUAUGAGGACAAGAACGUCAUCCUCAUGAUCGCAAAUUUCAAAGAUUCGGAUCUUGCUCUAGCUACCCAUGACUUUGACGUCAUUGGAUUUUGUGUCUUUGUAAUCUUCUGUGACUACAAUGCUUGAAUCAUACUGGUCAUUCAGGGCCGCGGUUUAGCUUGAAUCUUGAUGCCUCAUAGCACCAUGAUCAAUGUCACAGAUACCCUCUAUGCAUUGAGAGGCAAUCGAACCAUAUUGAGCUUUAAAGACAUUCAUGCUAAUAGUUUUCAUUUGAAAACACAUUGUGAGAAUGAAUAAGAGUGUUCUUUUAUCUAUACCUUCUCAUGAAUGCGGACUGAAGCGUAUCUUGAAGAAAUGCAUGAGUCAAUCUAGUGGAUUGUAUGUCACUACGAUUCGAAUAUCGAAUCUCAUGUUGUCGCCAAACAUGAUAUUUGGGACACCGACUCAUAUAGGCUUUGGUUUAACCAAAUUGGUCAACCUGGAAGAGAUAUAAUGGUCCAAAUUUUGAGAAAUUCUCAUGGACAUCCAUUCUUCCGCUCAAAACGAAGACAUUCAAGAUCUAGCAUCACCAUGAAGCAUGGUGGUGACCCGGGGGACAUUGACGUCACUCGAACACGACUCCAACUUCCUAGAGGUCGUCCGGUCAAUUCCUCAAGCAAUUGAGGUGCACCUGCCUUUUCUCAAUGUCGCAUUGGCCCCCUGCAAUGCUCAUUUCUCGUUUUGAAAGCCUAUUUUUUAGCUAAAUUAGGAGUGAGACCCUUCUACACUAAAUAACACAAAAGUGAACAUUCUAUUCUUACGUCAAACUAUGUAGAUAGAUACAACCAACUUGCAGACACCUUUUUAUGUUUUAUGGUGUUGGUUGAAGUGUUAACACACUGGUCACGUGUUACACUAUUAUCUACUGCUUAUGCUGCUUAUACUUCUACGGGCUCACUACCCAUUUUUUAAAAAAGUUUAUCGGGAUGGAAGUUGAAGUGUCUUGUACCCCUGACGCGCCCGUUACCGGGCAUGCGGCAAUUAAGAACCUUUUUUUACAAUCGUAGUAUAAGGCAAAUAAGGUUCAAUCAAUCCGGGGACUAAAGGUGCUCUUGUAACAAUGGUCAUGUAAAAAGUUAGUAGUUUGAUAUAUAUACAUUUACAAGUACUGAUUUACAAAUAUACAUAUGGUACAAGGUAAUCAGGGGGGGUUUUGAGGUUUGUUCUAAUGUUCCUACUAAAAGAUAAAAAUAAAAGCUAAACUAAUAUAUACAAGUGAUCGAUUCAUUCAACACAUCCAUCAGAGAGAAACUCAGAUUCUGACCACACAUCAAAGUUCACAUUUCAACCUUAGCAAUCCGAUAACAUGCCAAUUCAGAGAACUAGAAACAAUCUGAAAAUACAAGCCUACGAGGUCAUGCAUUUUAUAGUUCUACUUACUUAUCCCUAGCACAGAACGUCUAGAACUAGGACAUCUCAUGCAAGGUUGCUAUCAAUACUACAAGUAUCUGUCUACACUUAACAUGAGUCCUUAGAAUAUAUAGAACGAGAUUGAACACAAUUAUAUUGUGAACGUCACAACAGGGAUUGCAUAGUAUAUGUAUUCAACCAUAUCUGUAACACAACUUCCACCACUAGAGAUCUACACUUACCUACUAGGCUUAGCAUAAAUCAUGACAUUAGUUAGCAUGCAUUCUAACAUAGGUAUAUCAAACAACAACACAUACUUUCUAACCUAUGAAUUGACAAGAUCAGAUUGCUAAAAAUAUCAUUAAUGAAACUUUAGCAUGCUUUACUGAAACUCAGAAUUUACUAACAACAUAACCAUCGAAACAACAUCCAAAUCCAAUAUUUGAAAACCGAAAACAUGUUUCUGAAAUUGUAAAGGAAAACUAAACAAAACAGAGGUAGGGUUACACUUUAUCAGUCUUCAAGAAGCUUGUAGACAUCAACAAAGUGCUCCAGCUUCAAAGCUUCAAGGCUCCCAAGUUGCUGCUCUUGUGGAAACGUCCAACAAGGCUUUGGCAAGGAAGAAACUCAGCAAAGGAGAGGGAGAGGCUGCUCAGCAGAGCUAUGUGUUUCCCUGACUUUUGUGUGAAUGAAUGAUGGUUUGAAAAGUACCCAAGGCUGUCUAUAUAUAGAGGAAAUUCUUGUGGAACUUCUCCUCAAAACUGAUGUGGGACUAGGAGAAAUGUGUGGUUUUUCUUCUUUAGGAGCACAUGUUUGACUUUUCUUCUUCCUUGGACAGCUUGGGCCUUCUUUUGGGCUUUCUGCAUUUUUCUCUUUCAUCCUUGGACUUGGGCCUUCUUUUGGGCUAUCUUCUUCCUUCCUUGGACUGCAAGAAGGCUUCACUACAUUUUUCUGCAUUUUCUGUUAUUUCCAUGAUUUAGCCUUCUUUUCUUGAUUUAUGCUCUAAUGUCCUUUACAAUCACAAAGCAUGUUAGAAAUGGCAUUAUUAUGAGAAUAUCAUAGCUAAAUAGGGUAGGAAACACAUUAUAAAAAUAGCACUUUGUGCUCAUAUCAACCCCAUAUUCACACGCAAUACGGUCUCGCCGAGGCUACGACCAAGCAACUUUAGCUUAUCGCUCGAACAUUAUUGAUGCGCACCAAUCUUUCUAUCGCGUCUUGGGGCUAUGUAAUAUUUGCAUGCAGCUUUACUAUUCAUCUACAACCCACCAUUAUUGAAUAUUUUUGUACUACAGCUCGUGACUGUAUACCAGGAUUGCAAUCCUUGAGCUCAAACAAGAUUGAAACGGGUCUCCAAUCCUUGAGCUCGGCUAAAUGUUAUUUCUAGGUGCCAAAUCGCAUUGUCACUGCGUACAAUGAUGGGUCAUUUGAGAUGAAGAAGUGUUUAGGUUGGAUAUGAACCUCCACCUAUAAAUCCGCAUAUGUAGAAACCUUGUCAGGUAAUCUCAUUCACCGCUAAAUUGCGGAUUGUCACUUUGAUGAGACAAUAUUCCCGCCAUUAGGGGGAGAUAAGAACACAAGUGUUUAAGUGGAACGACGUGAAUUGUCGUGGUUUGUCCCCACUAAGUCUCAUCUUGAUCCUAAAUGCUUAAAGUGUUAAAGUGACGAGAUCACAUGCUGCAAAUAUGUCUGCAAGGAUUGAUGUCCUAUCAAGAGGACAUGGUGCGACCAAAAAAGUGUUGGUCUUGACGCAUCACCAUGGAUGGUGAUAUGGUGACGCCAUAUAGUGGCAAAAUUGGUAUCACAAGGCGGUCUGGCUCCCCAAGGAAACCCUUAAGUUUGAUAUUUUCUCGCACUAGGAAGAAAGCGAGCUUGGCACAACCUGAUCCAUUGAUCAAUGAUACUAAAAUCCGUCUUAUGAAGUCUGAAUUGUGGUAAUCGUUGGGGGACGCCUCAAUGUCAAAUCUAAUCUAUAUAGAGAUCUCUACAAGUAUUACACUAGUGUACAUGAGGAUGUGGGAUAAUGAGUCUACUAUCGAACCACCUUUCGUUGAUAGAUAUCAAUUUAGUUGAUUGGCCUAAUGGAAAGAUGCAAUCCAGCAUUAACAAAGAGAUAGGUCCUUGGGCAAGUAAUACCGACACCGCAAGUUAAACCCUAUCAACUAUGUCUUUGUUAGAUAGCGUAGUAAGAACAAGAGCUUAGACUCACCUUAUGGCGCAAGGUCUCUCACUAACACGCACUGAGAUCGACUACGAUGAGAUAUGCUCUCGUAAUGGAUGUCAUUGAACUCCACUACUUUGUCAGUUUGGUAGUUUCCGAAUAAUUGAACAUGCAGCCUAUGAAUGUGGUCAUAAUAACAUCUCUAUGGGAUCAGAGAUAUACAUGAAGGUCUUAAACGGACUUCAUUCAUCCGAAUCAAGUGGCUCCAAACCACAGGAGCAUGCGUUUGCUAAAUGUAUUGAAACGCACAUGGACUCUACUUGAUUUGGAAGGGAUAUGGUGAAUUAUGCCUUUGUGUGUUCAUUUCGGAUUUACAUGGACUCUUGAUGGAUCAAGAGAUGCCAAUAUGUAUCAACAUCUGAAAAAAAAAGAUCUUGGGAAGACACGGUCUCAAUAAGGCACUCGAUGACUGUAUUGAUGAUGAUUUUCCAUCAAUCGGCUUAGGCACUUUAUAACUAGUGAGGCCUACAUAUACUCCCAUGAUUAUUCAAGGUCUUUGCUCUAAAGAGAGAUCUAUUGUUUUGUCUAAAGCAAGAUGACAAAUAUGUGUUAAGAGAUGGAGUUCCCAUCUAAGUACAAUAAGACGCAUCAAUGUACUCAACACAAUACGAAAGACUUGACAUCUCAUUCACUAUGAAAAGUUGUAAAGCUAAGUGUAGCUAUGCGCCUACGCAACGCCAAUAUAAUGGCAGUAACUCUUUUUUCAAUACUUAAUGGUAUGAAAGGUUGAGGCUUAUUCUAUCCCUACAUAAGAAAGACACAUCAAAAGCGAAAUCAGAAUCUGCCAAGUUUCGUAGAUCAAGUUCCACGGCACCUACAGGAAAUCUCACUCACUAGAAAAUGGUGAAAUUGGUACCAUUGGAAAGGUCUAUGUGUCCACUUUCCAGGGACACCAACCAUUUGAUCAUACCUAUCAUAUUGAGUGAGUUAUGGCCGUUUUCGUAAAGUAGGACGAAUCUGUCCGAGAAUCUGAUUUUGGCAAAACAGUCAACUUCGACUGGACUUUGUGAAUGUGAAUAGCUCCUGACGAACCAGAAUGUGUGUAAUAUACGAUUGGAAAGCUAAAUGAGUCUAGUUUCCAAAACCAUUUACAGUUCGUUCAUAUGUAUUUCCUAGAGGAAGUUACGACUGUUCUAGUAACUAAAGGUCAUGCUGCACGAAAAUUUGAUUUCCUGCACGAACUUAUGUUUUGAGUUCACAAGCGGCCUUCUCCUCAAGAUCUAAGUGUAAAAGAUCAUUUGAGGACAAUACGGUAUGAUUUAGUUAAUCAUUGUCCAAUGCCACAUUUGAAGACAUGUUAAAGAGCAUUGACAUGCUAAGUUGUUGAAACUUCCGUGAUUAGUAAAAAUCAGGAAGAGCCCUAUGAUUGAUGUAAAGAUCAGAGGUGCAAACUUCAGGAGGAGUCUAGCACAUACAUACAUGUCACUAUCAAAUGUGAAGAGUGCAUUGUACUCUUUUUCUCCUACGAUCAAGGUUCAGUUUUUCUCCCACAGGAUUUUUGUGACUUGAUAAAGUUUUUGACGAGGCAACAGAUCAGCACCAUCGGUAUAUCAGUGCGCGGCACAAGGGGGAGUGUUCUAGGAUAUUCUGUAUCUUUCUAGAUAUUCUUUAUGUGUGUCUUGGCCUUAUGCCAAUAGAAUAUGUAGUUAGACUAGAUCUAUGUAUUCAUAUCUUUACCAUAUUAGUAUUGUGUAAUUCCCUAUAUAAAGGGCUUAUCUCAAUGAAUAAGAUGAUGAUUCUCUUGCUAUCUCUUUGUCUAUACACUUUAUACUUCAUCAGUUAUCAAAAUAAGUGUGGUUUUUCUAGGAUUUUGUUAGAUUUGCUUAUGUUUUGUUCUUUUGGAUUUUUUGGGUUCUCUGGUUCUGGUUACUUUGUUUGAGGUGCAAUACUUAUAGUUUGCAGCAUAAGAACUACCUAGGAUAGCUUUGGUCUUCUUAGGUAGCUUCGCAUGAUUCAUUUUUAACGUUUACCUGCGAAGAUGUGUCAUGUUUAUGUUGUAAUCCGAUUUUCAGUUAUCAAUAUAUAAAUGUCUGACGUCCAUUUAUCAAAAAAAAAAUUAAUUAUUAUCUGCAUACACCAUACACCCGAUAGCUUUUUUCCGACUGGAGCUGUAAUAUAUCUAUUAUCUAACAUGAUACUUAUGGAAAAAAAAAAAUACAAGUUUGAUGUUGUAGAUUUAUAUCUAAUCGGGAUAUUCGCAUUACAUACAAGUGAUACAACAUUUUAUUCCGUUCAAUAAAAAAAAUAAAAAAAUAAAAAUAAAAAAAUAAAAAGCCAACAAGAAACAAGAUAGGGAUUGAAGGAAGUAGGCAGCUAGGUGUGUGAAACUGAGGACGAUGUCUUGGAAGCCUCGAGAUCUGCAGCCUGCUUGAGAAAGCUCUGGUCCUCGAGAGCCAUCUGUAUAGGGCAAGAGCCAAGCCCGUCGGCGAUGGCCAGCAAAAUCUUCUUCAUCUCCUCCCUGAACUCGUCCAGAUCCACCGUCCCGCUCUGGUCGCAGUCGAACUUAUCGAAUAUGGAAUUGUAGAGCUGCGUCAGCUCAUCAGGCGAGGUUGCCACGUCCAUGCCGAAGUGGGUCUCGAUCAAUCUCAUAGACUCGAACGCUUUUCGCAACUCAGACCGGGACAGAACGCCAUCGUUGUUAAGAUCUAGAGCAGCAAAACGCUCGUCCACGCUCUUCUUGAACUGCACCUCGUCGCUCACGAAGUCCUUCACCGUCGUUCCGUCGAUUAUCACCACUCCCAUCCUACGUUACCUAAUACGUUGAUUUUUCUGUUUCUUCUCCACUCAGUCGGUGUGGUCUGGUGUUGGUGUUGGUUAUCGUGUGGGGUGUUAUAUAAUUAGAGGUCCACAGCUGACAUAUAUCCUUCGACCAAAAAAAAUAAAAAGAAAAAUGCCCGUUUACACAAAAACAACAAAAUUAGAACCCGAUUUAAUAAAAAUCUAAUUCAUAAGCCCAUCCCAAUGAAACUUGAGUAAAAACAAAAUUAUCCUCCUUUUUAUUCAACUAACCCUCUCUCUCCUUUCCCAGUUUCCCGAUCUGAAUUCUUCUUCUUUUUUUCUACCUCUUUCUCUCUCUUGUUGCAGAGAUGUCUUCUCAAGUCCUCACCGAAGAUGCUACCGCCUCGGAAGACAAGAAUUACCGGAGACCGAGGCUUCACCGCUCGUCUCUCGGCGCUCAUCGGUCACCGCUCGUCUCUCAUCGGUCACCGCUCGUCUCUCAUCGGUCACCGCUCGUCGGUCACCGCUCGUCUCUCGGUGCUCGGCCUCAGCACUCGUUGGUCGCUAUUCGACACUCGUCGGUCGCCGUUUGGCGCUCGUCGCUUGUCUAAGCCCAGUCGCUCUCUCGCCUGAAGCUAGCUGAUGAAGAUCAGGAUGUGUAGCGCCUAUAUACUCCAGCAGUCUCAAAUUAAUCACCUCUCAUCUCUCUUUCUUUGAUCGCCAACCUCAGAUCGAUCGUGGCCAGCAAAUCACCAGAGAAGUUUGGAUUGGUGUUAACUUAUAUUCUCAUUUCGACUUCACUGUUAUUUAUCAAUACUUUCAUUGAAAUUAAAGUCAGUAUUUACCUUCUUCUUAUUCUUCUUCUAUCUUCUUCUUUUUUCUAUGUUUUGACUGAUAAUUGAGGGGUAGUAAUUGAUUACUGGUAGUCAGUAAUAGAUUACUGAUAGUCAAUAAUUGAUUAAUGAGGAUGAGUAACUUGAUUAUUGAAUGCCAAUAAUGAUUAUCGGAUGUUUGUAAUUGAUUACUGGGGUCAGUAACUGAUUAUUGGGGGUUAGUAACCAAGUUAUUAUGGGUCAGUAACUGAUUAUUGGGGAUCAGUAACCAGGUUAGUAACCGAGUCACCGGUGACUGGAAUCUAGUGACCAGAGAAAUCCAGCGGCCGGUGACCGGAGACCGAUGACUGGAGUCCGGUGAGAUUCCGGCCAAGUAUUCUAUCUUCUAUUUUCUCUCUCUAUGCAUGUUUAAAAGGUAAGGGCAAAAUAGUCUUAAAAUAAUAUGGUUUGUUAAGACUUUAGUAAAGAUUUGUGCAUUUGGGCAUAAAAAAUGUUACCUUAUAUUAGAAUGAGCUAAUGAAAAAGAUUGUCAUUGGAAUAGGGAAUGAGGGGUUUAAAUUAGUACUAAAUGGGCAUUUUCCCAAAAUAAGAUGCUAAUAUAUAUCCAUCCAUUUAUCUUAUCGAGAAAGAAAGGAAUAUCGGUGAGUAGGUGCCUAGGCGGGCGGGCAUCUAUUUUUUGUCUAGUUUGGUACAGUUUCGUUUUUAAAAAAAUUAGAUUUUAUCCGAAUUUUUAGAUUAGGUGUUUCUAAAUGUACCUAGCAAAUAACUAAGUAGACCCAACAAAUUUAUUCAUUUAAAACAUUUCAAAAUAGGUCACUUAGUUUCCCAAAUUACCCUUGUCAUGUACCCAGUAAAGAAACACGAAUGAAAGCAAAAGAACUCGGAAGAAAAUUCCCAACGUAGAUAUGGGUGAGACUGUGAGAGAGAUGAAGGACAAAAAUCUAAUUGUUAGCAUUUGGUAGUAGGUUUGGGGUUUUGGGUGUGUUGGAUUUGGACUCCAACGGUUUCUUUAGACUAAAUAAGUUGUGGUUUCAAGAAAGUUAUUUCCAAAGAAGGAUUUUGAAGUCAAGUUGGGAGAAAUCUUACAGUAGAAUAAAAUGAUGAGGUGUUUAGCCGAAGGCAGAGCAAUUGCCCGCCAUUAAAGACAAUUGCAUGAAUCCAAUUAGAAACUCUGCAAUCCAAUUGCAUGAAUCCCUCCCAUCUCUAUAAAUAUAUCCCCCAAUCUCAAUCAACAUUAGCACCAUCUUUCCCACAAAAUCAAUUGAGUUUUUUUUUUUGGCGAACAAAAUCAAUUGAGUUUAAAUCAACAUAUACGUACCCAAGAGUCAUGAUCAGGAAAACAAUUGGAAUGCACCAAGCAAUUUCAAACCAGAGUAUGGUUUUGAUGGGUGUUUGCUGGGUUUAACAAAGAUAGGGUUAUUAUUGGAACAUUGCUGGGUUUAGAUAGAAAUUUUAUAAUUUUACUGGGUGUAAAGAGUUUGCUGGGUAUACUUAGUCAUUUGUUGGAUACAUCUAGUAACACUUUUUAGAUUUUAUAGUGUCUGGUAAAUGAAAAAAAAUUUUCUAAAAUUAUAGGUCAUUGGCAGCAGCUAACCUGUAGGUUACUUUUAAAAGCAGCUGUCACUAAAAACACUAGAAAUUAGGAAAUUAAUAAAUUUUAUCUUGGCAGCACUUUUAAAACUAAUAUUUACCAAACACAAAACUGUUUUAAUUCACAGCUGAUUAUUUUCGCAGUACAGCAAAAACAGUUUUUUUUUUAAAGUCACAGCAAUACCAAACUAGCCCUUUCAUUGUUUCACAGUAGUGUUCACCUGGUCAAUAAUUGAUCAAGAAAUUCAUGGUCAAUCACCAUUAGAUGUAAAUUUAAAGAUAGAGAUAAUUAUUUUUAAGUUAGGUUGUUUUGUUUUCAACCCUUAGAUGUAAAUCUAACAAUGAUUGACUAUGAAUCUCUUGAUCAAUUACUAACCAGAUAAACACUAUUUUCACUGUUACAAAAAUACUGUUCCCUAAAUUGACUUUAGACAAAGACUUAUGUCGCAUAGCAUUACAAACUCAUAGUCGAUGCCAUAUUGAUGGGCUCAUCAUCCUCUAUCCGAAUAGCUUUUAAAUCCACAUGCACCACGAAUCGAAUAUGAUUUAUUCGAUUCCCAUCCCACAACUCGGCGCUUUGCCUCUUAAUUUUAAGGCUAUUUUAAACGAAAAAAACGAUUUACUGAUUUUAUUAGACUAAGGGCAUUUGAGGAAAACGCGGAGGUGGAUAUAGCAUAUUGUUUUUGUAAAAGUAAUUUGGAGAUAAAGCACGUAUCCUAUCUUACAGGUAUGAAUAGAAGCUCCCAAAAGGAAAAAAAACAAAAAAAAAGAUAAGGAAAGAAACAAAAAAAUAAGAAUAACUUCAUUAUUAAAAAAGAAAGGGAUAACUUCAAUAAAAAAAUACUGAUCAAUCAAAAAGUAAAGUACCGAUCAAUUCCUUUUUUUUUUUUUUUUUCCUUUUCUUUUUAGAGUGAAAAUUCCUUUGGCAGCAGCAUAAGAAAAUAUGGCUGACAUUGCCACAUCUAAACAAAGUACAGCAAAGAGGGUACAGUUGAUGAUAACAGAAGAGAGAAACCAGUGAAUAGCAAAGAAAAACAAAGUUAUUUUUUUCUUUCAUCGAAAUGAGAGGUAAUGAGCUAGCUAUAAUUGAGGCCCCUGUCAAUGCUUUUGAAUACUAUGAACUUCCUUAUACAAAGGACUGCAAAUUAUGUCAGAGAAAGCAUCGUUAUUCAAUUCAGAACUCCUCCCACUUGCAGCUCAACAGGUUACACCAAGAAGCAAUAAUUUUUGGACAUUGUAUCAGCAAAUGUCUCAGAAGGUGUGAUUAGAAGAUGUUUGAGAAGGGCAUUAAGGCGCCCUUAUUUAAAGCUAAGAACAUAAUCCUUGUCCAUCUGCACAAAACAAGAAUUCUAUUAGAGCUCUGAAAAGAUAUUUUCUUUCAAGAGCAAAAUCCAGCUUAAUACUUACAGAUACAGAAAGCUCUUUUGCUUUCUCAUCAUCAAAACCCAGGGAAACCAAGAUCUUGUGACCUGCCGACUCUUUUUCAGACCAGAUCCCAAGUAACAGAUGACUUACUGUUAUUUCCCCACUGUCUCCUGCGUUAGACAAGAGAAUCUAAAUAACAACUCACAUAAAAAUAACAAUACAUGUAAUUAUGCAUGCGGAGCAUAAUGUCUGUGCGAAAGUAUUGGAGCAUAUCCUAAUCAAUGAAACUUAACUAGCAACAAAAUAUUGUGACAGUUCUUGAUAUUAGUAAAGCACAAUUCCACAAAACCACCAUCACUAGAGUUUUUGAUACCUGACUUUAGUUUUUGAUCAACAGCCCAGUCAAGGGCCCUCUGAGCAGGCUCAGUCAAUGGAGGAUGCUCGGGGCUGAAAAAGUACAUGUCCGACUUUCCAAGUAACUUCACAGUUUCUUCUCGAACCUUGAAAAGUGUGAUUCCAUUAGCUCUGAGAAACUUGGCAGCUAUACUAGUUCCUGAACAGAAGAAUAAUAAAAAGAUUAACUUGGUUUUUGUUUAUGACUUGGAUUGGAACAAAUUACUACAAUCUGUCCCAUAAUCAAGUAACGUGAUACUGCAGAAGCAAAAUAAAGCCAUUGGCUGAUGAGUUCCUAGAAUGAAAUAACUCUUGAAGUAAAUAAUUCUUAAUCCUGUCAUCCCAAUGAAGUUGUAAAAAGCAACGACAUCACACUAGACAGAAGACUUUAAACAGUGUGAAAAAAGAAAAAAUAGAAUUCUCAGGCCGUGAUUCAUAAAAUGGGUAAACAAGUAUUCCCCUCUUAGGUUCUACAAAGAUAACAAGAGGGGAACAAAGAUUUAGACAUACAGCCAUGCUCUGUGAAUCUGUGAUUAAUACAAGAUAUGAGGUCAUCAACUCAGACACAUCAAUUAGAAGUUCCAAACCAAGUAUUAGUGAGAAAAGAGUUAUAGGCGUUUGCUGGAAAAGCUGACAUGGAAAAAUUAUGAAGUAGACUUUCGGGUGUCACAUACGAGUAGUAGAAAUCUAAUCCGCUAUGAGUUGAAAGCAGAAAUACAAGAGAGAAAUACCCUCGACUAAAAUUCCCAUUAGAAGGGCUUCCGUGCCAGUAUUGGGAUACUUGAGCUUCCUUGCUUCCAAUUCACCCAUAGCAAACGACUUAAUGGCUCUGGCCGACCAUCUAAAGAAACGAAUUCAGUCAAUCCAAUCCACAAGUAUAGCUCUAAACAAAAUGAAAUGAAAACAACUCACUGUGAGGUUUUCCCAGAAGAAAUCCUCUCUGGCUUCCUGGAGAAAGGAGACAAACAAAUUCAUUCGCUUUUAUGUAUUAAAAACAAAAAUAAAUAAAAAUAAAUGGAGGACUUAGAAACCUUACCCUGUUGGGAGGCUGAAGAGAACGGUGGCGACCGGAGUUGGAUGCUUUGAAGCGAACUUGUUUGAAUGCGGAAUUUCAAUGGAGAGCUUUCUGCCGAGGAACGAGGUCGAUAGGUUGCAGGGUGUCGAAUUGCUGGGCUUUCUAAGGGAAGAGACUGAGAGAGCUGACAGGGUGAUGGAAACGGAGGUCAUGCUUAAUUAACACCCAAACCCAAACCCGACUGAGAUUAUGAUUCGGAUUUUGGUCCUCCGCCGUCUCUGCUUCAGAUUGGAGGGGAAACACCCAAAUAACUAACAGAUGAGCUCAACACUAUUAGAAAGCGGCAUGUCGUCUCCCGUCUAAUCACUUUUAUAAUUAUUAUUAUUAUUAUUUUAAAUGAAAUUGGGGCGGCUGUGCUCAAGUCUUUACAGAAUACAUGAGGAAACGUAAACCCUGAACCCCAUAUUACAUGAACAUAUUGAAACAAUACCAAGAUUCUUCAUCAAACCUAUGUACUCCAAUUAGCAAAGGGUGCACGAAUGGCUACUCUAUUUGCUUUGUCACAACGGAGUGGCUUCCUUUCUUUCAUUCAUAAUAGUUAGGGUGUUUCUCUGUUCUGUGAAUCUCACUUUUGGGUAAUUUAUAUAUGAGAUGUAGUCAGGAGCUACAAUGGCCGAUCUUUAACAAAUUUGGAGAGAGAAAAUGACAGUGAUUGAGAGAGAAAAUGAUGAUUAAAAAAUCAAAAAUCCCCUUUUACAACUAAGGAAUCACUGAGAAAAGAUUGAAAAGGUUGAGAAAUAGGUUGAGGAGGCGAGGAUAAAAUAAUGGCGUGAAUUUCAGCGUCUCUAACAACGGCUUCCACAAACCCACCAAUUUUUGGGUCGCUGUGGUAGACGGUGUCGAGACCGUCUCAAGGACUAUAGAGCAUUAAAAAUAAUCUUUGUUUCUACCAAACACCGGCUAUGUCUUAUUAUACAACAUACUCCAAUCCAAUCCUGUGUAGUCCCGCACAACAAACACGAACCCCCUUAGGGUUUAGUUACGACCACAUGUGCAGUUCUUGAUUUGUGCUUUCUUUAGUACAGUUGCAAGGGCAAUAUGAAAUGAAUUUCCAGAAUUUAAGACAUCCAUAUAGCCAAAAAUAUAAAUAAAGCAAAAGAAAGUAACUUGAGGUCAAUCCGUGCAAGACGUAAGUUAGGAUCAAGGAUAAACUCGGCCAACUGGGUUGAUACCUUUUAUUUUUGCUUCUAAAUGUUCUCAAGCUUGUUGAAAUAAAUGUGCUAUAAGCUGCUUCCAACAGUAGAUGUACUUUUGAUUAUUAGGGUCUGAGGUGCAGCUAUGACUAUUAGUACUCAUAGCAAGUAACUCUGUAUUGUCGGCCCCAUGGGCAUUUUACUCCUUGUACUGUUUGUUGAGCUAUAAAACAAAUCGACUACUUGACUAAAAAGAAAAAAAGAAUAAAGCAAAAGCAAGUAACUUGAGGUCAAUUUACAAAAUAAAAAACACUCAAAUUGGCAUAUUUAGGACAGCAAAGCCAAAAACCAAGUAAAAUCUCUGACAACACCUUCACAUAAAUUCCUCUCCAAACUCUACUGAAAUCUCUCAUUACACCAUUAUGUACUUAACAGACAUUUAGGAUCAGUGGAUCCAUCAACUACAUCAGAAAGAAUAUUAAUCAAUCUUCUACAAAAUGCCUCUACUUCACAAUAUUUAGAGAAAUCAACCCACUUACUGCAUGCUACUAGAAGUUUAAGGUACAAAUGCAGGAAAGAGGACAUCCCUCCCAACAAACUAGAAUCAAUGUAAACAACCAGGGAAUGAACUCUGCAUUCUACGGGAUCAACUACAUUUGGAUCAUGUGGACACUGGCGGAACUAUAUUGAGACCAAGGAGUGCCAUGGCACCCCUUUAAUUUUUUAAACUUGUGUAUUAGGCUUUACUAAUCAAGGAAUUUGACAUAAUUAGAUGUAAAACUUUCUAAUUUAGAGGUUUCCCGCCCCCCCCCCCCCCCCCCCAUUCAUUUCCUAUUAAACUAUAAACACCAUUUUUUGUUACUAAGUUUAAUUUAUCCAAUUUAUUUCUCCUACCUUAAUCAACUCUUGCCAUAUCAUAUUUAAUCAACUCACCAUAAUGAAUAAUUUUUUUUUUAUCAUUCUAUUAUGUCCAAAUACUUUAUAAUUGAUUAACUUAUUUCAGUUAUUUCUCUAUGUAUUUAAUGAAUUCUAAAUUUCAUAUUUUGUUUUCAGUUUAGUAACUUUUUUUUUGAACUGUCCAAUACACAAAAGUUAAUUACCUUUUGAUAUUGUAUAUAUUUAUAUACAAUUAUUUAAUUUUUGAAUACUAUGUAUUUUCACUUUAUAACUCGGCCCCCUUAAUAUAUAAUCCUGUCUCCGCCCCUGCAUAUGGAGCAUGGCUAAUGUAAUCAUUCCAUCUUAAAGGGGCCAAAAUGACUUCUACCAGGGCAUUUAACUUAACCUUAGAGGAGGCAAUUUGACUGUCUUGCUUGAAUCCCAUAACACUCUCAUUAGGCCAAUCUUUGUUUCAGCCUCCUAAAACGAACCACCUAUGGCUAUAGAAGGGUAUGAAACUUGUAAACUAUCAUUAACACUCUCAUUAUGUACCAUUCUCAUUAUGUUGAAAGCUUAUAUUUCACACUAUAUUCAGUAGAAAAGUGAAAUGCAUCAAGGUUGGAAACCUAUUUAAAUUUCUUACCAGCCAUCUAGGGGACUCAGGAACAUACCAUAGACCAACGAGAAAGACAAUGCAGGCAAUGAUUCCUUCAUAUCAAAACCCAACAAUCAGUCCAUCAACAAGUUUUGCCAUUUUUUAAUCAGGAAAAACAAAAUAUUACCAGUCAUAGCUAGUGUCCUCCAACGUAUAAUUGUUCCCAUUACAAAUGAAACUGAUGCACUACUAACAAUCACGAGCUGCAGAACACGCAUACGAAAAAGAAGAAGUCUGUUAAUGAUCAUUUAUAGUUCUAAGUUAGGGCCAACCGUGUACAAAGAUAUCAAAGCUCAUAUCUGCCCUAUUAUACCUGAAACUGAAUUGCAUAAUAACUUAAGUCAAGAUCGUUUCACAAUAAACACAAACACAGUACUGUAGAAAUCAUAAACCAAUAGCUUAAAGAGUUUCCUAGUUGCUCUAGGUGAUUACCAUAAAGACCAGCAUCAAUUGGGGUUCCAUUCACGGUAGUCAUCUUCUCAGCAACACAACUGCAAUCUCACAAUACACAAAACCAAGGAAAAUCUUCUAUGCUAUACUACUUGUUUCUUCACAGAAUGGGACUGUUAUUUCUUUAGGAAAAACGUCGUUAGCAUAGGGACUUUCUAUUGGUAUAUAUAGUGGCCUAGAAACAUAACUCGUGCUUAUCCCAUAAGGAGUCCAAGUCACUUAAUGUUUAUCAGAUACAAGUCUUUAGGUUUAUCUCAAGAACUCAAUGUUGAUCAGGUUAAUCAACUUGAUAAGUCUCCAACUUUUAAUGAGAGACAUACACCUCAAUAGAUAACAUGAUAGAGUUUUACAUUUAUAUUUCUACUGAUUAUAUUCAAGUUAAUCUCAAAACUAUUUUAUAUAGACAAAGAUAAAUGCAGUGUCCAAUAUUAUUUUCCAACAAUCUCCCACUUGAACCAAGUUAUCUUUGUUCAUAGUAAUUGAGAUGUAAUCAGAAUUGUAACAGUUCUAAAGUGCGCAUUGAAAUAUAAGAACAACUCAUAACUUAUCCAGCUUGGUCAAUAUGCAGAAAUGAUGCAGAACCUAAGAUUGAAUUUAAUCAGAAGACUAAAUCAAUUGAAGAUCACUAACACCAGAUACUGCACACCACAUAAGCAUAGAAAGAUAAACAGAAUAGCAAAAUAGAAUAUGUCUACCUUGAAUUUCUUUUGCUCAAGUCCUCUGAAUGAUUUUGAAUAAACCAAAAUCUUGUCAGCAAGUUGUAGUACAGUGAACCUGUCACUUGCUUUUCUUAACCUGCAUAAUGGUUCACUUUAUAAUCUAUUUACACAUUCAUAUACAUAUAUAUACAUACUUAUAUAUAUAUAUAUAUAUAUAUAUUAAUCAUUCAGAAGAUAUGAAUUUUGAAAAUUGAACUUUAUUGAUGAAUAAGAUACAAUGGAAUGAAAUGAUCCUAAAAAUUGAAUAGAAAUCUACUCAUGAUGAGAACUAAAAUCCUAAAAAUGAAAAGGUGACUCCCACAGAACUCAGGCAUCUAAAUCUGAGAGAACUCCCAGAUUUUCAACAUGUUUCUGAAAACAUCCAACUGAUAAAGCUUUAGUGAAUGGAUCUGCAAGUUGAUCUUCUGUGUCAAUAUUGAGUACUUCUAUGUCACCAAAUUCAACCCUUUGUCUCACACUGUAGUACUUAAGGUCCAAGUGUUUUGAAUUGUUUGAUCUUUUGUUGUUCUUGGCAAAGCAAGCAGCUGCUUCAUUGUCACAGAACAUCUUAAGUGCUCCCUGAACUAUGAAUUUUAGAGCUUCAAUCUGUAUCAAAAAAUUCCUGAUCCAUAAGCCUUCAUAGACUCCUUCAUACAAAGCUAUGGACUCAGCUUGCAUUGUGGAUGUGGUGAUUAAUUUCUGUUUCAUGGUUCUCCAUGUCACAACACCUCCUGCAAGCAUAAAAACAUAGCCACUUGUGGACUUCAUGUCAUUAGGAUAUUCACCUGCAAAAUCUGAAUCGGUGUAACCUAGUAACUCAAGCUUUUCAACUUUUUUGUAGACUAGCAAGUGAGACUUAGUUCUCUGUAGAUAUCUUAAGACUUUCUUUCCUGCACACCAAUGUUCAUGACUAGGAUUUGAUUGAUACCUAGAUAGAAUGCCUACAGCAAAAGCCAUGUCAGGUCUGGUGCAGACCUGCGCAUACAUCAAACUACUAAUUAACCCUGCAUAAGGCUUACUGUCCAUAAGCUUGUCACCUUCAUACUUCCCCCCAUUUUUAGUGAUUUUAGUGAGCUUAUCACCCUUAGACAUAGGGACUGGACCAGGAUUACAAGUUUCCAUAUGAAAACGUUUCAGAACCUUACAGAUGUAAGCAUUCUGUGAUAUACCUAAAGUUCCUUGUUUCAUGUUUCUCUUAAUUUCAAUCCGCAAAACAAAAUGAGCUUCACCUAGGUCUUUCAUAUCAAACUUGCUAGAUAAAAAGUCUUUUGUGGCUUUUAGCAGUUUCAUAUCAGUGCUGGCUAACAGGAUAUCAUCUACAUAUAAGAUGAGAAAAAUAAAAUUCUUCCCAACUGUCUUUAGGUAUACACACUCAUCAACUAUAUUUUCUGUAAAACCAAAAGAUGAAAUUACUGAAUGAAACUUCUUGUACAAUUGUCUAGAAGCCUGCUUAAGUCCAUAAAUUGAUUUUUGAAGUUUGCAUACAUAGUUUUCCUUUCCAGGUUCCACAAAACCCUCAGGUUGCUUCAUAUAGAUUUCUUCUUCUAAUUCUCCAUUGAGAAAUGCAGUUUUAACAUCCAUUUGAUGAAGUUCCAUAUCAAAAUGUGGUACUAGAGCCAUGAUAAUCCGAAAGGAAUCUUUAGUGGAUACAAGAGAAAAAGUUUCAUUAUAAUCUAUUCCUUCUUUUUGUGUGAACCCUUUAGCCACAAGCCUAGCUUUAUGUCUCUCGACGUUUCCUUUCUCAUCUCUUUUUGUUUUAAAAACCCAUUUACACCUAUGGCUUUAUGUUGUGGAUUUGGUUUUACCAGUUUCCACACUGAAUUUUGUCUCAUGGACUAAAGUUCAGCUUCCAUGGCCAACUGCCACUGUUGUUGAUGAUGUUCAUCUUCAUCAGCUUGCCUAUAGGUUUCUAGAUCAUUGUCUUCUGCAAGAAGCUCAUCCAUUUCUUGCAAAUAGACAAUGUAGUCACUGUUUUCAUCAUAAGUGGGUUUUCUUUGUCUUUGGGAUCUUCUAAUUGAUGGUUCAGCAAUUUCUGGUUGUUCUGCAGUUUCUAGCUCUAUGUUUUCAUUGUUUUUAGCUACAACAUGAUCAUUUUCUGCUGGUUCUUCUUAUACUACAAUUGGAUUUUGAUCUAUGUUUUGAGUUUGCAUAUUUUCUGAAUUUGUGGUUUGAUCAUGCAGUAAGGGUAGAUAAGCUUUUAACGUUUCAUCAUUUGAGACUUCCUCAAAAUCUGAAGAAAGAUCUUCAAAAACUGAGUUAUGUAUAGUCUCAUCUAGGAAUUUUGCUUGACCUGUUUCAAAAAUCCUUGGUGAAUGUUUAGUUGCAUAAAACUUAUAACCCAUUGAUUUUUCACAAUACCCUAUAAAAUUGCAACUCACUGUUUUGGACCCCAAUUUUUCAGUUAACUCAUUUGGUAUUUUAGCUUCGGCCUUGCAUCCCCAUACAUGUAAGUGGUGCAGGCUUGGCUUUCUGCCACACCAAGUCUGAAAAGGUGUUGUUUCUACAGCCUUGCUAGGUGCUCUAUUGCAAAUAUAUUUUGCAGUUCUUAAGGCUUCACCCCACAAGAAUUUAGGUAGACCUGAGGUGCACAUCAUGCUUCUCACCAUAUUUAGGAGUGUUCUAUUCUUUCUUUCUGCUACUUCGUUUUGUUGAGGGUUGUAGGGAUUAGUGUACUGGGCCUUAAUGUAUGUUCCUGAAGGUAAAUAGCAAAAGAUCCCUUUUGCUGGCCUGCCUCAGUAUAUCUACCAUAAAAUUCCCCUCCUCUAUCAGAUCUCACAUUUUUAAUUUUUCUUUCAAGCUGUAUCUCCACUUCAAUUUUGUAAAUUUUAAAAGCUUGGAGUGCUUGUGAUUUUUCUGAUAAUAAAUAGAUGUAGCAGUAUCUUGAAUAGUCAUCUGUGAAAGUUAUGAAGUAUGUGUUUUUACAUAUAGUUUCAUGCCUAAGGGGUCCACAUAUAUCUGUGUGUAUAAGUUCUAAGAGACUUUGGCUUCUUACUGCAGUUUUGUUGUGUUUGUUAGCCAAUUUUCCCUUAUAGUAUUCCACACAUUCAUUUAGAUCAUUAAAGUUAAGCUCAUGUAGAGUCUUAUUUUUUAUAAGUGUUUUAAGCCUGUCCUUAGAAAUAUGCCCUAAUCUUCUAUGCCAUAAAAAUGCAGACUUAUCAUUAUGAAGUGAUCUUUUAACACCAACAGUAGUGUUAUUCUUAAGUGUGCUUUCAUUAUUUUCAAUUAACAUAAUAUCUGGUUUUGCAACAAAACAAUUUAAUUGUAAAUAAUCAUUAACAAAAACACCACAUCCAAGAUAAUCUGAACCUUGAAAAAAUUGUAAUUCAUUAUGAUCAAUGAUUAGUUUGCAUCGCAACUUAACUAGCAAAGAAAUUGAAAGCAGAUUCCUUUUAAGGGAAGGAAUAAAGAAAACAUUAUAUAGAAAAAGACUUUUAUUUGAACCUAAAUCCAACUGAAGUGAGCCAAUGGUUUUAACAGCCACCUUCAUGCCAUUUGCCACGCAAACUGUAUUCUCAUGCCUUUGAGGUGCCCUCCUGCUUAGCAAACCCUACAUUGAGUUGGUUAUAUGAAUUGGUGAGCCUGAAUCCAACCAAAAUGAGUUUGCUUUCACAUUUAUGAAGUUUACUUUCAGAGCAAAUGCAGUUUUAUCAAACAAAGAAACAGAAUAAUAACCAAAAAAAUUACUGAAAUCAAUUAAAGAAUUAUAGCUCUUACCUUUCUUCACCAUCCACCUUUUGAAGCCGUCGCAGUUCUUCUUGAUAUGGCCAACCUUUUUGCAGAAGAAACAUUUCACUUUCUGCAAAUUUUCAGUAGCAGCAGCAGGGAGGCAAGCCUUCUUCCCAUCUUUUUUGAAUUUGUUCUUCUUUGGCCUGAGGGUGAUGUCCCUCUUUCCCUUGUACUUUCCUACAAGGUUGACAGAGGUAGCUGGUGCCUUCUCCUUCUGAUCCUUCAAUAUUCUGUCUUGUUCAUUAACGCAGAUGGAGAUCAGUUCAUCAAUCUCCCAUUUUUCCUUUUGGGAGUUGUAGUUACUCUUCAAAUUUCCAUAUUCAGCAAGAAGAGAUUCAAGAGCUAUAUGCACCACCUGUGCAUCAUUAACCCCCAUUUGUAGGUCCCUCAGCUUGUUGUUAAUUUCUUCUAACUGCAUCAGGUGAGUCCUGAUGUUUCCUGUGCCGUUGAACUUCAGUUCAUGUAGCUUUCUUGAUAAUCUUGCCCCUUCUGCCUUGCUACAUUCCUUGAACUUCUGCCUUAUGGCAUCCAUGAAGUCAAUAGCCAGCUCUAGUUCCACCAUACAGCUCCUGAUAGUAUCUGAGAUGGUCCCUCUGAUGACAUUCUUUGCCAUCCGGUUGGCUCUCCACCAAUCAUUGUAGUAUUUCCUGUCCGCAGCAGUGCUGUCCUCAUCAAGCUCCUCAGGCUGCUCUUCAUUAAGGCACAUAUCCAUGUACAUGUAAAAUUCAACUUGAUUACGCCAUUUCUGAAAGUUCAAUUGUAACACCUUGACCCGAUUCAAUUCAAGAAUAUAGUUCCUAAAAUUCACUAAUUUCCUUCAAAACUCGAUUGAAUUUAGAAAUAACAAUACCAGACAUAACCUGACAUGAGAACCGAGUCUGAAGUAUCUCACCUCAUGUACAAUCAAUCGUAGCCGGAAUAUCCACCAUUUGAGUAUUCAAAAUGGUGGCGGCACCGCAAUGAAGAGAGGAAUUGGAUGAGAUCUUCCCGUCCAUCCCGUGGCUUGACUGAGGCAUCUUAAAUUUAGAAGCCUUGAAGCUUCCCCUCGUUUUCUGGAAGCCUCUUCUCCUUUAAGUUCCCAUUGAUAGUGGUCGGUGAGAGAGAGGUGUGAUCGAAUAUGCCGGUUGUCUCCAUCUCUCUCUUCUUCGAACCAUGUUCCCCUUCUCUUUCCCCUAAGAACACAUUCCAGGAGAGUCUCCCUUCUGAAUCCAGGAUAUAGAUGAGAAAUAUAAAAAAAUAAGAGUCCCCGAUCCAGGUCAGUGUCCUCUCCCUCCCCUUUCUCGACCCUUCUUCUCUCCUUUAAUAUAUUCUUUUCUUGUCUUCUUCUCUGGUCAGUCAAAUGUUCCACACCCUUCUCUUCUUUUCUAGAUGAAUCUCCACUUAUAACCCAAAUCCAAGAGUAAAGAUUAAUCAUAAAUCCAACAGUAGAGACCAAAUUCUGAAAGAUCCCGAUGGGGAGGGGUCUUGACCUUAACAUGCUCUAGGCCCCGGAGUGGUGAUCCACCCUGACCACCAUUUUUGUAACUAAAAAAAAUAUUUCUGAAAGAUCCAACGGUCCACUAUUCCAUUUAUUUUAUAAUUAUAGUUUCCUAUAGUUUUAGAAUUUUAAGUAUAUAAAUCGACUGUCUAGAGAAUUUACGAGAAUUUUCGCAUGCUCGGGUCGAUACAAAGCAUUAAUUACACAUCCUAUUAUAAUUUAUUUCUCAUUUAAAUAACUUACUUUUAUCCUCUCUAUAUACACAUACAAAAUCCUAUAUAUUCAUUUAUUUGUAAAGUACUCAGGGUAUUACAUCAGUCCUGUGAGCAAGUGGAUCUGUCCUAGUGUCACCACCUCAACUCCUAAAAUGAUUAAAAUCAAUGCAAAUGAGUUUCAAAAUUCAUGCAUAUAUAUAUAUAUAUAUAUUUGAAUAUGUGUAUAGUACUGCAGUAUACAUUUCAGCUUAUAUAGUCAAACAUGUAAGUUUAGCUACUAAAAACAUAUUUAAAAGUCCCAUAAAGUUCAUACCAGAUAACACCUUUGUGGUAUAAAAUCUGAUAUCUUAAUAUUCCAAAUGUAUUACCAUAAUCAUGUACUCUUAGAUAUAUGUUAAAAACAAUCAAUAUCUUUGGUAGGAUAAAGAAAAGUCUCAACAUAUCAGAAGUAAAAAUACAGAUCAUGCAAGACACUAUUAUUUGAAAUAAAAUUGUACAUGUAAAUAUCUCUUUGGAGACCACAAGACAAUACAGCUUUAUAAACAAUAACACAAGUUUUAAUUCUUUCUUCAGCUCUCUAAACAUGAUAGUAAAUGUUAUUUUGUGCAACAUAAUUAAUACCACAUCUAGAGUUUUAUGAAUCAUUGAAGUUUAAGAUUUAGGUUUCAGUUUAAGAAACAUCAAAACUUCAUUUUAUGAAUGCAAAUAUGAGGCUAUAACCAAAUUGGGAGAAUUAUAUAUCCUUUCUGUAUUUUGCAUUCAUACAGUAUGCACUUUAGUAGUCUUAUGCAUCAUUUGAUCAAUUUGCAUACGAGAUCAAAGUUUAUUCAUGUAUAUAGUUCAUCAUAUGAAUUAAGUUCUUAACUAUGAUUGAUAUAUGCAUAUGGGUACACGAAUUCAAAACCAUCACCACAGUAUUCCAAUUUCGUAUUCCCAAAUUUCAAACAUAGAAUCAAUGAAUCUCAUAAGAACUAAAUUUAGGUCUUACCUCGGCAUCAGCAUCAUUCAUCUGCAACAAAAAUUCAGCGGAAGCAAAACGAAAAAAGCACAGCCAAUAAGUCCUAAUCUUAUUCUAAGUUUUCUGGGUUUGAAUCCCAUCUGAGGUUAUUAGCCUCAUAUGCCAAGGUUAUCCGUUCCAAAUAAAAAACAAAAGAAACAAGUUGGGUUGUAAAACCGGGUUCUUAAUGGACUCGGGCUUUAGGCUAAAACUGUAGGCCCAAAAACAAGAACAAUGAAUUUCCUGUACUGGUUUUACUGAUUCAAAACUUUAAUCGAUUUGUGAAAUUGUGAAGAGCCAUUGGCUCUGAUACCAUAUAUUAUACCUGAAACUGAAUUGCAUAAUAACUUAAGUCAAGAUCGUUUCACAAUAAACACAAACACAGUACUGUAGAAAUCAUAAACCAAUAGCUUAAAGAGUUUCCUAGUUGCUCUAGGUGAUUACCAUAAGGACCAGCAUCAAUUGGGGUUCCAUUCACGGUAGUCAUCUUCUCAGCAACACAGCAACACAACUGCAAUCUCACAAUACACAAAACCAAGGAAAAUCUUCUAUGCUAUACUACUUGUUUCUCCACAGAAUGGGACUGUUAUUUUUUUAAGAAAAACGUCGUUAGCAUAAGGACUUUCUAUUGGUAUAUAUAGUGGCCUAGAAACAUAACUCGUGCUUAUCUCAUAAGAAGUCCGAGUUCACUUAAUGUUUAUCAGAUACAAGUCUUUAGGUUUAUCUCAAGAACUCAAUGUUGAUCAGGUUAAUCAACUUGAUAAGUCUUCAACUUCUAAUGGGAGACAUACACCUCAAUAGAUAACAAGAUAGAAUUUUACAUUUAUAUUUCUACUGAUUAUAUUCAAGUUAAUCUCAAAACUAUUUUAUGUAGACAAAGAUAAAUGCAGUGUCCAAUAUUAUUUUUCAACAUGCCCUAUCCUCCGCAGAGAUAUUUAGGUGCCAUUUGUGCACCUAAAUAUCAAUUCUGGAGAGCUGAAAGCAGAGAGAUAAUGGAAAUUGAUAGAGAUUGAACUUGUCUGUAGUGUAGUUGGGUUUAGGUUGAAGGUUUUGUGCAUGGCCCACCGUGUAGUCGUGUACGAUGCGGUAUCCGAACCAGGAGAGGGAGAGGAGCUCUGGUACAAAAUAGGCCGGUUGAUACCAGCAACCCCUUUCUCUUCAACUGUGACGGUCCUGUACUUACAUUUCACGGAAUUUCAGUUCGGCUGGGAUUUGUGAGGGAGGUCGAACCGAACUAGGAUGAUCGAAGAUGUCAUGAGCACGCCUAUGAUGACAUGAUGUCGUUGAUCGAAGAAAUUGAACCGACCAUAUCAUCAUGAAUUGUUAUAUGCUGUUGCCCUCGGUGGAAGUGGAAGUGGAAGUGGAAGUGGGUUGGUGAAGUUAAGCUAUCUCGUGUUGUUUACCCGUGUCCUUGGCCCGCGUACAUUCAUCAUCAAUUCAUCAUCAUAUUUCUUCCACUUAUUUUGUCCUAGCUUACCAGCCUUCCAGUACCAACUCGAUCAAGCUCUGUAAUUAAGUAUAAAUAGGCACAAGUGUCGAAUGGGUUUGAAAUGCUCCAACUCCUCCUAAUAUAACUGAAUGGCCGCGUUGGCGUUUGAGAACUACUACUGCAACUCGGCCGUGCGAUCACAGAGGCCAGUUGUAGUAGUAGCUAUGUUGGCCUUAUUUUUUACAACAACAGUUAGAGUCGUGGACGGAGGAGCAGUCGACGAAUGUGCCCAGCAGCUAGUAGGGAUGGCGACGUGUCUGCCUUACGUUGGGGGUGAAGCCAUGGCUCCAACACCCGACUGUUGCAGUGGUCUGAAACAAGUCCUCAACAACAACAAAAAGUGCCUCUGUGUCAUCAUUCAAGAUCGCAAUGACCCUGAUUUGGGCCUACAGAUCAACGUCACUCUUGCUUUGGGCCUGCCCUCCGUCUGCCACGCCGCCGCUAAUGUCUCCAAGUGUCCAGGUAAUUGAUUUGGUAAUGGAUUUUGUGUGUGUGUCUGACUAUGAGAUUGGUUUCUGAGCUGAUUAUUAGAUGCAUUUAUACACGCAGAACUUCUACACUUGGAUCCCAAAUCACCAGAAGCUCAGGUGUUCUAUCAAUUACAGAACAACUCAACGCAAGCCGCCGCCAAUAGUCCUACCCCAACUCCAACUCCAAGUCGUACGUACUAUUUAUAUGCCACCACAAUACCCAUUACUUUUGUUGAGAUUAAUUUUGUCGAUCAUUUUGAGGGUUAUGACCUACAUCUAUCGAUCAUAAUUCGUAAUUGUCUCGCAAUGUACAGCGGCUGAAGGUCCCCUAAGUGGCAUAAGUUCGAGCAGCUGGGCAGCUCGAGAGCGUGGUGGCAUGGUUUUGGUCGGAGAGUGGAACUCUUGUUGGGGCUUCACCUUGAUGAUAUGUGCGGUUUUGGUCAUGUUCAUCUAGAUGCUUGAAAUGGAUUGUACUCUUUUGUUUUUUGUUUUUCUAAUUAAGUAAUGGGCUGUACUCUUCUAACAGAGAAAUAAAGAUAAAAAUUAAUUAUACCAGAUUACCAGUAAACAGUAAAAGUUACAUAAAUAGCUCAUCUUAAAAAAUGGUACGACAAACACGGAAGCCUUAGUUAGUCUAAAAUCAAGAUAAAUAAUUCAUAGGCAACCAAGCACCAAAUAUGACGCUAUAACUUCGUCUAGUCAAUUAUGUUAUGGAAGUAGGACUAAAAGAAGUCUUAGGGCCAGUUUGGGAUUGCUGUGCUGUGAGAGGAAUUGCUUCUGAAGUUGCUAUGAGAAGAAUCACUUCUAAUAUUGCUAUGAGUAGAAUCAGUUGAGGUGUUUGGUAAACUGCUUUUAAAAGUGCUGUGAGAACCAAAAAGCAAUUUCGUGUGUUUGGUAAGUUAUAAGUAAAAACUGUUUUGGAUUGGUAUAAUGACAAAAAUGGGCAUUAUUAUAAAUUGAUAUUAAAAUAAAUAGUUGUUUCUUUUGUAUGUAACUGAAUUAUAAAAUUAAUCCACGAUAUUACAUAAGAUUUCUUAACAUCAUACUCAAAUGAAGUUCUUAAAUAAUAUACAAAAGACUAGUGAAGCCAUUUCAAAAGAUACAAAUUGGAACAUCCAAAAGAUGCAUUUCAAAUUGAGGCCAUUUCAAAGUUCUUAAAUAAUAUACAAAAGGCCAUUGCAUUACAAAAGUGAAGCCAUUUCAAAGUUCUUAAAUAAUAUACAAAAGGCCAUUGCAUUACACAAAAUAUAGUGAAGCCAUUUCAAAUUGGAACUAAAUGCUAAAUAGAUGCAUUCAUUAAGCUUUGUGCAAUGGUGUUUCUUAACACCUCCAUUUCUUGUCUUCCCUUCCCAUCUUCUUCAUGUUCAUUGUCCUCCAUAUCUUCACUUUGGAAAUCAUCACUUUCAUCAAAAUCAUGAUCUUGGUGAGCAUACUUUCUUAUGUAGUUAUGAAGAGCCAUUGUAGCAACAACUAUCUUCACUUGUUUUUCAUAAGGAAAGCUCGGCAUAUCACGUAAAUCACUCCACAUUUUUUUUUUCCAUACCCCAAAAGUGCGCUCAAUAAUACCCUAAGUGAAGAUUGUGCAUGAUUAAAUAUUGCUUUAUGAUCCGUUGGUUCAUCAUCUCUACGAAAAUGUGGAAGGUGAUAACUCUCAUGUCACAUCCCAACCCUUAAAUUUUUACCUUAUUUACUAGCUUGGUAUUAAUAAGAAUUUUACCGUCUCCGUUAAUGAGAUUAUAGUUUAUUUGGUCCCUAGAGGGGUUUUGAGGGACGAUUAUUGCGGAGGAAUUAUUCGUAGGAGGAAAUGUGACGACGGUAAAAAUAGUAAAUGACACGACCCACCCCGAAUUUCACCCUGAAACCCAGAGUAAGUCGUGCGGGGACCACCUCCAAGGAAAAUUUACUGAAAAGUUUAAGAAAAUCUCCCUUGCAGAUGGACAACCCUAAAUCGAAAAUUUCAUAUUACACUCUUAAUUUAUCACUUCUGAACAUCGCAUAAUAUACAAAAAUUCUAAAGUAUUCAGAGCUACUAAACACAAGCGGAAGCAAGAAAACACGAGUAGGUUGAACAGGUAACCUACUGGCGAAAACUGGCAGAAAAGCGGGUGACUAUGCCUCGUCUCCUACUAGAUCCAACCCGAACUCUGCAGACUGGGCAAUUUAAAACGAAUGGCCCAGGGGAAAACAUUUAAUAAUGUUAGAGUGAGUGGACAAAAAUAAAAUAAUAAAUAAAAUAUUUAUGUUUCCCCAAAUUAAUUUCUAAGGAAAAAUCGAAUGCAUGCCGCAAGCGAUAAAACUUUUAUCUCAUAAAAUAUCGAGCCUCUCAGACUCUAUAAUAUAUGUAUGUAUUUACACUCGUCCAUACUCCCUAUAUAAAUUCAUGGGUCUAUAUAGGCUACUACNNNNNNNNNNNNNNNNNNNNUCUGCUCGAGCCUCCUCACGUCCUGUUCCAAAUAAAAUAUUAAUUUCCCAACCAAUAAUCCCAUAUUUAAUCAAAAUAGGCAAAAUUACCCGAGAGCCAUAAAUACGCUCAUCAUCGCUUAACUUCGAUGUUCUUAAAUCGGAACGAUCCGAACUUAAUUAUCAUACUCAACAGUCGUAAAUACCACCUCCUCAAAAUACGACUUAAAACCUACGGCCGGAUUCUACAUUAAUUAACCGCCAAAAAUAUCAAACUUCGGAAAUUCACAAACCUAUCCAAAUCUCAUCCAAAAAUUCCAUAAAUCACACCAAUAUACUCCUCUUAAUAUUCCACAUUUAAAACCCUAAAAAUUUCCUAACCGGCGGCGGCCGGCAGCCGUUUUCCGGCGACCUGCAAAUGCUACCAAAUUUUAACAGAAUCUUCCUCUCAAUCUCCUCUACAACUUUCAUGACCAACACAUCACCCAAUUCCAAGCCUAACUAGGCUAAUCGAACGAAAAUAACUUAAAAGCCUAGAAAUUUCAACUCCACAUUUCUCCUUACCUAGCUCAAGAGGGAGGGAGCUGUUUGGAGGGGUUGUUGCACGGGAGGAGGGCUACAAAACCGUACCAAGCUUGCCCGGAUUGGUGGCCGGAGGAGGAAGUUCCGGCGAGAAAACCGAUUCGGCAGUCGGAGCUUUCGGGUGGCACCGCUCUCUCACGGCGGAGCUAGGGCUCCUCUCACCGGUCUAGAAAUGUUGCUGGGAGGGAGACUGACCGAACGGGACCGGUCCGGCGGCGAACGGAGGUCGGACGGCGGCGGAAGGGCGGCCGGAAACUCUUCUGGGUGUAGAGAGGAGAAAACCGGGUGGGAGGAGAGAAAAUCGGGAGAGAGGGAGAAGAGAAAAGAAGAAGAAAUGGGUUGGGCUCGGCCCAGCCGACCCAACACUCCUUUUAACCCAAAAUUCCAAAAUUCAACACCCCGAAAAAUAAUACCCGAAUAAAAAUUACCUUUUACUAGCUAAAAUUUACUAUUUUUACCGUCGUCGUAUUUUCCCCAUACGAAUUAUCCUCCGCACAUAAUCAUCCCCGAAACCCCUCUANNNNN
rnacentral:lncRNA from 1 species